ACAAUAAGAAUAUCAAUGUCUUUAGGUUUUAACCCCGUUUUCUUGAACAAAGAAUCCAUAGCUGAGAAGAUAACAAUCUCAGCCUCGCCUCUAGCAGCCUCCAUGGUUGGAGUUGGAGGAAUAUAAUGAAUAGCAGGAGGUAAACAAGUCUCUUCACCAAGACCAGACCUUUCUAGAAUCCUCAUCUGAAACUCAACGCUCUUAGGGUUGUUGCUCAAGUUCAGCCUCGAGUGCUCCAUGAAAGUAGCAAAAGGAACACGACAAGUGACAGGAGGUUUGUAGCAUGCAUAAUCCACAAGGUAAAUGCUUCUAGGCUUAGACAUGAAGUAAACAGUGGCUACAAAGAUAAUAAAGAAACAAGAGCACAAGAUUUGAACAAGAUCAAAAUGAAGGGAAUUCCAGAGAUUAACAAUCUCAGCAGGGCCUAAACGAAGAACCUCAAUAAGAACACCAGCCAUGACAGGUAUAAGAGUAAGUGUAAGAAUAUGAUUGACGAGAUAUUGGUAGCCAAGCUUGACAUACUUAAGCUUGACAGAAUUAGAGAAAUGUGGCAUUGUUGCAGUGGUGGAAAUGAAGCUAUUGAAAAAAGGUGUUGUUUGUGUGAGGGAGAGGAAAACGGGGGGUUAAAAUUUUUUUUUAAAGGAGGAAGAAGAGGCGUGGGGGUUUUAAAGAGGAAGGGGACCAAAGAGCAAUGAAGGAGGGGGGCAGUCAGGCAGAUGAGAGGAUUAAAUGAAGGGAGUCACACCACUCAACGCUCACUUAACUCCCAUUAAUUUUUCCUAACUCCCCUUUAUAUCCAACAUGUAACUAAAUCCGGUAAAAUUAUCAUGGAGGUCCCUGUAUUAAGAGUCAGAUUAUAUUUUGCUCCUUCUAUUCAAAAAAUGGGCAAUUAAUCCCUUUAUGUUAAAUUAAAGAACAAUUUCAUCAAUUUGUACAGUUGAAAACUGAGAUGACUCACAGAAUAACCAGACAACAACAUACAGGGAUAAGUUUUUAAUAGUAGAAACAGAUAAUUUUUUUAACAGAAUAACUAAUUUGCUCUUUGAUCUAAUAUACAGGGAUAAUUUGCUCGUGUUUUGAGUAAAAAAGGUAAAAUGUAAUCAGACUCUUAGCACAGGGGCUUACAUAGUAAAUUGACCAACUAAAUCCUUGCUUUCAUCAAUAAGCUCAAUUUUCGUGCAACCGUCAUCUGUAAUUUGGUGGCUUUAAUUCUUUUUCAUUAAUUAAGUAAUCAUGGGGAUCACAAUUAGAUAUCAGUUGGUCUCAUGCUUCAACAUUAUAAUAUAUUUUUACAAUCGAUUGAAAUAAAACUAAAAAAUGGAGAAUACAAAGAAAUUUUCAUUUUUUUUAAAAAUAAUAUUGGAUUUUUUUUCUCCUUAUAUUUGGAUUAUUUGUAACCCAACCACUUGAUUACUUAAUUUGAUGAUUAAGAAAUUGGUUCAUUUUCAUAUUUGUUUUUUUUUAAUAUGAUUAAUUUUAAUCCCCUGAUUUAAUCAUUAAUUAAUCUAAAUUGGUUCAUUUUCAUAUUUGUUUUUUUUUAAUAUGAUUAAUUUUAAUCCCCUGAUUCAAUCAUUAAUUAAUCUAUGACCUUUACUCCAUCUUCAAUAUUUAUAUGUAACUUAAUAUUUUUUUAACUGGUAUAAUACCACAUUUAGUCCUUAAUAUUUACAUAUUCUAUGACCUUAUUUGUCUCCGUCACUUGAUUUGGGUCAUGAAGUAUUACAAUAAAAUUUCAAACAUUUACAUCACAUACAAACAAGUAUACAAUUAUAAAUACAAAAGAAAAUCAAAUCACAUUCCAUUUAUAAUAAAUAUACACUUACGGGCCUUAAAUCGAGCUUACAAGGCCCUAAAAUAGUUUGAGAACAUUCUGGGUUCAAUUUGAAACAAAACUGAAAAAUAGGAAAAAGUUAAAAAUUUUGAAAACAGGGGACACAUGGCCGUGUGUCACAACAUAGACCGUGUGGACAUUCGAAGUCUAGACACACGCCCAUGUCCCAGCCCGUGUGCCCGCCCGUGUGCCUACUCGUGUGUGCAUUCGAUGUUGGGUCACACGGCCGUGUGCUAGGCCGUGUAAAACCAACACCUAAAGACAAUAAGACACACAGCCAUGCGAGUGGGCCGUGUGUGUCACACAACCGUGUGACUAACAUGUCCCAGGCUGUGUGUAACGUAUUUAACCCCUAAAUCAAGCUAUUGCAUACACCAUUCCUUAUGCAAAAAGACAUAUCAUAUCUAGAUAAUUUCCUAGGUUUAAAAUCACAUUCAAAUCAUCAAUCACAUUACAAAAUUUCAUCCAUUCUAUACCUAACUGAACAUAUGACCUUAACCACAUUUUUCUACUCAAACAUCCACCAAAAUAGCUAAAUAUAACCAUUCUCAUCAAAUUGUCAUUGAACAUAAUAUUUAUAUAUUCACAUCAACAAUUACAUACAUUUAAAAGAGUCAAGCUCAUGAAACAUACUUAUUUCAUUCACAAACUAUAUACAAGCAUAAUUCAAAAGUUUACAUGACAUUCUAUAUAAGUAACUUUCACUCAAUUCAAUUAUAGACCAAAAGACCUUGACUCAAACAUUAUCAUCCUAGGUACAUGCCAAGACACAAAAAGAAAUACGUCAUCAACAUUGAGUUCGGGAUUGACGUUGGAUGCUGAGUCAAUAGUCAAAAUAUAGGCACUUAACCUGCACACAAAAGAAUGAUUAAAUAUCUAAAUAAUUUCAUAACCCAAAGAACUACAUUUGUGUUUAAUAAUCCAUUAAUUCAAAUAUCUAACUUGUAAUAGUUAUUACCAUAUAGUGUACCAUAGGUUCCUCAUGAACAUUUCAUAUACAAUUAAAGUUGUCACUCAUUUUACCAACCAACUUCAAAGAUUUGCGCCCAACACUAGUCAGAUUAACUGACGAUAUUAAUUGCGUGCCCAGAUUGGUCGAAUAAAUCGACAAAUAUUUGCAUCCAACGCUAGUCAAAUAAACCAACGUUAUUAACUGGGUGCCCAACACUAGUUGAAUAAAUCGACAAAGAUUUGCCCACGCUAGUCGGAUAAACUAACGAUAUUAAUUGUGUGCCCAGCACUAGUCAAAUAAAUCGACAAAGAUUUGCGCCCAACGCUAGUCGGAUAAACUGACGAUCACAUACGUAAUUACAAAAUCCAAAAUUUUCUUAUUUUAUAAUUCAAUCAUUUACAACAAAUAAUUAUAAGACAAUCUUUGAUCCAUUCCAUGAUCAUAUAUAUAUACACAAUUUUAUAAUUCUUCAUUCAAUCCGGAAUAACCAAAUUACGUAUAAGAAUAUAAUUAAAUAGCCAUGUAAUAGUUAAAUUAAUUAAACUACAUAAAUAAAUAGAGCUCGAGUUCAAGGACUACGAACUUACCUCAACUAAAGCAGUUACUAAAACGAAGUCGACAACUAAUCCAAAACUUUAGCUUUUUUUUCCUCGAUUUAAAUACGAUAGUAGCAUCUUUUGAACAUAAUAAUAUAAUUUUAUUUAAUUAAAAAGUUUAAAUAAAUUUUAAAUAAUUAAUUCAAGCUUAUAACCCAUUUUAGUAUGAAUUUAUAAAAUUACCCCAACAUUUUUCCUUUUAUGCAAUUUAGUCCCUAAACUCAUAACUUGCAAAAAUGUUAGUUACCAAACAUGCUAGCCGAAUUUCUUAGGCUUUCUAACCUGCCCAUUUUUAUCAAGAUUUCACAUUAAAUCCCAUGAAUUUUACUCUUUAAACAAUUUAAUACCUAACUUUCAGAAUCACUAAAAAUCCUUUAACAAAAUAUGUUUAUUUAACAACCAAGCUUAAUAUUCUACCAAAUAAAUUUCAAAAUAUAUUUAGAAUCAUUUAUGACAGUCCCUAAACAUUUAAUAUUUUUACGAAUUAAUCCUCGGGUUAGCUAGAUUAAGCUAAUACGAACUCAAAAAUAUAAAAAUUACUAAAAAUGGGGUAAAGUUACAUACCAUACAAUGGAAAUCAAACUUGACCGAAAGCUCACCCGCUUCAUUAGGUUUAGCAAAAAAAAAAAAACACAAAUAGGUUGAAGAUGAUGAUAUUUCACUUAUCAUCUUUUAUUUUAUUUUUAAUUUACCUAAUUACCAAAUUAACCUUUAAAAUUAAAACAAAUUUCAUCAAAUGUUAAGCCAUGAUCAUCCACUAUAGUUAAAUUUGGUAAAAUUACUACUUAAGGCCCUUACUUCAUGCUUUUUCACCCAUUUAAUACAAAUAAGUCUAUAGCUAUUAACUUUUACGGCUUUUAUAAUUUAGUCCUUUUUUUCUUUAAUUAACUAUUUAAAUAUUAAAAUUUUCUUAACCAAACUUUAAUAUAACCCUAAUAACACCCCGUAAAUAUUUAGUAAAAUAUUUACGGGAUCGGUUUAUAGAAAUGAGGUCCCGAUACAUUCUUUUCUAGAACCACUUGACUUUAAGAAUUUACCACUUGAACCUAAUUAUUCGUUUAAAUAACAUAAAUUAUCAAAUCAAAAAGUACUAUAAUACUAUAUUUGACUCGUAAAUAUUGAAUAACAAUAUUUACGAAUUCACUCGCCAUAUUUGUAGCCCCAAAACUAUUGUUUCCGACACCACUGAAAAAUGGGUUGUUACAUGCCAACUCAACGGUGGCAACUAAACCAACUAGGUCGUCAAUGCAAUUAAAAAAUCAUGAAAAAGCCCUUCUAUAAUUAAAAUAAGUUAUACUAUUUAAGGGUAAUUUAGUAUUUUCAUUUUAACAAAAACCAAUUAUAAUAUGCAUAUUGUGAAGUUUGAACUCAUGCCAAUUAGAUUAGAAAGCCUUAAAUUUAUUACUCAACUAAAGCUUCAAUUUGAUGUAUUUUAUACAUUUUUAUUUUAAUAUGCACAAGUUAUUAUUUCCAUUGGUUGUAUAUAUAUCUAUACUUGCUAUUUGUUAAGUGUUUUACUGAGUUGGUGUCACCCUCAAUCGGUUCACCAAUUCACUAGAAAAUUACGAAAAUACCCUUUCAUAAUUAAAAUAAGUGAUACUAUUUUUUUAGUCUUUUUAUUUUAACAAAAACCAAUUAAAAUAAAAAUAUGGUGGGAUUUAACCUGCGCUAAUUGGAUUAGUAAAACCUUAAAUUUACCACUUAACUAAAGCUUCAUUUUGAUAUUUUUGUGGUUUAUCUGAUGUAUUUAUAUGUUUAAAUUUUGUUUUACUCACAAUUUAAUCUAUUUUUAUUUUAAUAUCAUACAUAUUUCAUGUGUUAUUAUAAUUAAUUAGUUUCAAACCAUAUGUUACAUGAUUUAUCAUGUUACUUUUAAACACACCUUUUUAUUCUAAAUCCGUAAUUUUUAUACGUGUAUAUGUAUGAUAGGAUUACUUAUUAGUCAAUCUAAUUGUUAAAAAAAUAAGUCCGUAAUCACCUAGUUACUGCUUUAAGUAGAAAAAAAAUUAGUUAUUUCUUUAAAUUUGUUUUUGAAUUACAAAAUACUAAAACAGGAAAUUUGGUGCCAUUUUUACGAUUAAAUUAGCUUCCAUAGUUUUGUCUAAAACGAAAAGGCAGAAAUUCAAAAAAUAAAAAUACCAAUAUUCUACGGUUCUGUUUCUUUUAGUUUUCAUAUUUUCUACUUUUAAAUAUUUAUUUUUCAUUAUUGGAAAUAAUGGUGCAACAAUUUUACUUUAUUUGGAAUAAUAUGAAAAUAAAGUAAAAUAAUUUUUUUAAUAUUCAAAAUUUAGUUACUUUCGAAUCAAUGACUUGAUUGUUUUUUUAAUCUUCCAUUAAGCAGGUUUUAAUGAAUAAAAGUUCUUUACCUUUCUCUUUCGUGAUUUGCUCUAAAGUGUCAUUCUUGUUCCAAAAGAAACAUUGGGCCUUAUAGAAAUUGUUGGGCUUCAUCAGCUUCAAGCGAAACUGAAGUCUUAGUCUUUUUUGUUCUUUGGAGGAGGAAGCGAUCGCCAAGUUGGCUUUUGCAUUUGAUUGAACUAGGCAUCCCACCAUUUAACAUUAACUCAUUAAAUUUUUACUCUUUCAUGAGUUGGGUAAAGUUAAGCUCCCAGGUUCCUAAGCUAUAUAUGCAACCUCAAAGCCUGCAAAGUCUUUUAAACAAGGUUUUAACACCAUCUCAAUAUGCCCAUUUGUCUUUCACUUCCAUAAAGAAUCCUAGAAGAGUAAGUAUAUGUUUUUUUACUGGAAUACCAAGCUUUUGCUUAAAGUUGAUUAAAUUGGUUUUCAAAGAUUCUUGAGCCAAGAUAACUUGACCUUCAAACAUAUCCUCCAGAUUGCCCAUAAUCUCUUUAAUAAUUCUAUUGCUUUCUUGUUGUUUUUGCAAAGUGUUACUAGCACUUGCAAGAAUAUAACAACGAGCUAUUUCAUUAGAGCUUUCCCAACAAGCUCUAGCUUCACGUUGGGACUCAGGGGGCAUGCUUCAUCAAACACAAACUUGUGGUUCAUGUACUUGAGAACAAUGUGCAAGUUUUGUUUCCAUUCUUUAUAGUUGUUGUUGUUCAGUUUGUUUUCAGUAAGAAUAUUGAUGAGAGAAGUUAGUGAUAUUUCGAUUUGAAAUAUAAAUUGUCACAUAUUAAUUAUCUUUAAGCAAGUAUGUCAUCAAAUUUAGCAACAUACAAGAUGCAUUAACAUGAUGCAUGCUUCUUACAUUUAGCCUUGAAAAAAAAUGUAAACCGUUAUAAUGAUAAUUCUCAAACCCAUUAAAUUAUGCCAUCUUGGGGAAAUCACAAACAACUAGUAAAAACAUGGAUUUAUCCAAUUAAUAUGUUAAUUUAAAUUGCAAAACUCUACACAAAUUAAUAAUAGUUUCACUUUAAUAAUUAUAAGUUAAAUAGAGUUUCUUCAAAAGUUAUUUAAUUAAACUAAUCUUGAAUAUAUAAUCACUAACUCAACACCCAUCAUUAUAUACUUUCAAUAUGAGUUAUAAUGAGAUAAUCUUAACAAGAAUCAUACAUGACUAGUUGUCCUAUUAACCGAGGUUGUGGUCUUGUUAAGGGACCCUGUAAAAAAUAGAAUAUCGGUAAUGACAAUAUAUCGCAAAGAAAAGAGAAAUAAAAAUAAAGAACACACAGAUUUUAUGUGGAAAUCUUUUCAGGAAAAAACCACAGGCAGAGGAGAAGAAAAUUCACUAUGUCGAAUUCGAAUGAUUACAAAAGGAAUAGACUAUGUCUAUUUGUAGGCUUGUAAAACCAUAUUCUAUUAGGAGUGUAGUAAGAUUGAAACACCUUAUUCUAACCAAUAUCAAAUAGAUGGAGUUUAAUAAAGUUAAAAAAACCUUAUUCUAAAAUAAAAUAAAAGAAGUGUAGUUCUAUAUGGAUUUUACUUUUAUUUUAUUUUACCAUUGUAUUUUAUUUAAAUAAAGAUUCGGGUCACCUAAUUUUAACAAUCUCCACCUUGACACGAAUUCUCAAUGAACAAGUUCUUCAUCGCGAACUCUCAACGAACAAGUUCUCCACCUCUUCCAUAAAACCCCUUAAGGGUUUAACUUCAACAAUGAACACCAACCAAGUCUAAGCAAUGCUCAAACUUGGUUAUAGGAAGUGACUUAGUCAUCAUAUCUGUAGGGUUUUCAUGAGUACUAAUUUUGCUCACAACAAUAUCACCACGAGUAAUAAUAUCACGAACAAAAUGAUACCGAACAUCAAUGUGUUUUGUUCUCUCAUGAAACAUUUGAUCUUUUGUAAGGAAGAUGACACUCUGACUGUCACAAAAUACUGUACUGAUUUGAAGGUCUUCAUUGAGUUCACUAAAGAGUCCCUUAAACCAAAUAGCUUCUUUACAAGCCUCAAUAAUCGUCAUGUACUCAGCUCCAGUGGUAGACAAAGCGACUGUAGUUUGCAAAGUGGCUUUCCAACUAAUUGCACAACCUCCGAUUGUAAAGACAUUACUUUUGAGUGAUAUUCUUCUAUCAAGGUUUCCAACAAAAUCAACAUCAACAUACAUAAUGACUCCAUCUCUAGUUUUUCCAAACUGUAAGUAAACAUCAGUAGUACCUCGUAAGUAUCUUAAAAUCCACUGAACUGCUUUCCAAUGUUCUUUACCGGGAUUCACCAUGUAUCUACUAAUUGCACCGACUGCAUAUGAUAAAUCUGGAUGUGAACAAAUCAUAGCAUACAUGAGAGAUCCCACUACAUUAGAGUAUGGAACAUAUGACAUGUACUCAAUCUCAUCAUCUGAUUGUGGGGAUAAAGUCGAUAAAAGUUUGAAAUGGGCUGCUAAAGGAGUACUAACAGGUUUAGUACUUUGCAUAUUGAACCUGCAAAGAACUUUUCAAUGUACCUCUUCUGACUUAGGUAUAAUUUCCUUACUUUUCUAUCUCUGAGAUUUUCCAUACCAAGUAUCUUUUUUGCUGGUCCCAAAUCUUUCAUCUCAAAUUCUUCACUUAGUUGGGCUUUAACCUUUCUUAUCUCUCAUUUAUCUUUUGCUGCUAUUAAUAUGUCAUCAACAUAAAGGAGUAUAUACACAAAAGAACCAUCACUUUUUUUCUUAAAAUAAACACAACUGUCAAAUCUACUUCUUUUGAAAUCAUGAGAAGUCAUAGAGGAAUCAAACCUCUUCUACCACUAUUUUGGUGACUGUUUCAAAUCGUAAAGGGACUUUUUCAGCAAGCAAACAUAGUCCUCUUUUCCUGAUACUGUAAAAAUCUUUGGUUGUUGCAUUUAAAUAUCCUCCUCAAGUUCUCCAUGCAAAAAUACAGUUUUUACAUCUAACUACUCAAGCUCCAAAUCAUGCAUAACCACAAUACCAAGUAAAGCUCGAAUCGAACUAUGCUUCACAACUAGGGAGAACACAUCUAUGAAGUCCAGUCCUGGAAUUUGACUGUAACCUUUUACAACAAACCUUACUUUAUAUACGGGUUCUUCAACUCCUGGAGUCCCUUCUUUUUUUUAAACACCCAUUUACAACGAACAACAUUUUUACCUUUAGAAAGUUUCACAAGAUCUCAUGUUCUGUUUUUGUGGAGUGAUUUCAUCUCCUUUUGCAUAGCAAACACCCACUUUUCUGAGUCUUCACAGCUAACCGCCUCAGAAUAAUUAGAUGGCUCUUAGUUUGCAUCUAUAUCUUCAGCCACAUUUAAAGCAUAAACAACUAGAUCAGCCUAGACAUACUUCUUUGGAGGUUUAAUUUCUCUUCUAGUCCUGUUUUUGGUGAUAGAGUAUUGUGGUAAAGAAGCAACUCUAUUCUAAAUUUUUGUACUGGCUUGAGGAGUCGACUCAGUUGUAGAUUCUGGAUUAAUCUGAUGCUCCACCUGCUUUUAAUUUUCUUUAUUGAAGAGUUUUUAAAAGAUAAGUUCGGUACCAUAGCAGUUUCAUCAAAAACAACAUCUCUGCUAAUCACAACUUUUCUAUUUUCAGGGCACCAUAACUUAUACCAUUUUACACCAGCUUUAUAACCAAGAAAAACACAUUUAAUGGAUCUCAGUUCCAAUUUUCCAUUAUCAACAUGAGCAUAAGCAGGACACCAAAGAUCUUUAAAUCGGAAUAGUCAGCAGGAUUACUAGACCAUACCUCUUAUGGAGUCUUUUUUUCAAUGGCAACGGAUAGAGAUCGGUUGAUCAAAAAAUAUGUAGUAGAGGCUGCUUCGGCUCAAAACGACGUUGGUAAGUUGGCAUUUGACAACAUACAUCGAACCUUCUCUAUGAUCGUUCUAUUCAUUCAUUCCAGAAUGCCGUUUUGCUGUGAGGUAUGACGAACUGUCAAGUGUCUCACGAUCCCUUCUAACUUGCACAGUUUAUUAAACUCAUCAGAACAAAACUCUAAGCCAUUAUCUGUGCGGAGGUAUUUUAUUUGUUUUCCUGUAUGUUUUUCAAUCAUAGUUUUCUAAGACUUAAAUGCAGAAAACACAUCGCUUUUUUGCUUCAGGAAGAACGCCCAAACUUUUCUAGAAAAAUCUUCAAUAAAAGUUAGCAUAUAAUUAGCUCCACCUCUCGAAGGCACUCUAGAUGAGCCCCACGGAUCAAAAUGAAUAUACUCUAAAAUUCCCUUCGUGGUAUGGAUUCCUCUUGUGAAUCAAACUCUUUGUUGCUUCCCAAAAACGUAGUGCUCAAAUAAAUUUAGUUUGCAAAUUCCUUGUCCAUCAAUAAGUCCUCUUUUGCUCAAUUCUGCCAUGCUAUUCUCACUCAUAUGCCCUAGGUGCAUAUGCCAAAGUUUAGUAAUAUCAUCAUCUAACAAAGAAGAGGAAGCGACAGCUGCAUCACUAGUAACAGUAAAACCCUAAAAAACAUAUUUCUUGGCAGUCUUUCUCUACCCUUUCAUUACAACAAGGGAAUCUUUAGAAAUCUUCAAAACCCCACUUUCAGCUGUGUAUCUGUACCUUUUUGAAUCAAGAGUACUCAAUGAAAUUAAUUUUCUCUUCAAUUCUGGAACAUGUCGCACAACACUAAGUGUUCUGACAGCUCCGUCAAACAUCUUAACUUCAAUUGUUCCAACACCUGUAAUUUUACACGAAGCAUUAUUUCUCAUCAAAACAACACCUUUAGACAUUGUUUCGUAAGUUGUAAACCAAUCCCGAUUAAGACUCAUGUGGAAGGUGUAGCCCGAAUCAAGGAUCCACUCCUCGCUCACUUUAGAAUUGUUGAUAGAAGCGACUAGAAGUUCACCAUCACUGUAGUCUUCUACAACAUCAGCUUCACCAGAUUUUUCUGGUUUUUUCGUUUUGAUUUGUAGCCUCUCUUUUGAUCUUGUUCUGCAACUUAUAGCACUCAAAUUUAAUGUGCCCUUUUUUUUCUUACAGAAGUUACAAGUUUUACCUCUAUUUGAAGACUUUGAUCUACCUUUAGAUUUACCGUGAGGAUUUCGUUCCUAUGUUCUUCCACAAUCAUCAUCAGCAUUUCGUUUUUGUCUCUCAUGAACAAUGAGACUCUCUCCCUGAAAGUCGGGUUUAACCACAAAAUGCUUCAUUUUAUCAUACAAGGUCAAAGAAUCAUAAACCUCAUCAACUGUGAAAGACUCGCGGCUAUAUAAAAUCGUGUUUCUAAAGGUUGAAUAAGAUGGGAGAAACGAACAAAAUAGAAUCAACCCUAGAUCUUCCUUAUCAUACUAAACCUCCAUGGCCUCCAAGUUUGAGAGAAUUUCUUUAAACACUGUUAAGUGUUCGUGCACAUACGUACCUUCCUCCCAACGAUGAGCAUAAAGAUGUUGCUUCAUAUGCAACUUGCUGGUUAGAGUUUUCGACAUACAUAUUUGUUUCAACCUCUUCCAUAAUGCAGCGGUGGUCUUCUCCUUCAUCACAUCCUACAAAAUUUCGUUAGACAAAUACAGAUAUAAUUAUGUUAACGCCUUUCAAUCCUUACGCUUCUUCUCUUCAUCCGUUAAUGUCGAAGGCAUCUUAUCUAUCCCUAGCAAGGCAUCCUCCAGAUCCAUCUGCGCAAGAACUGCUUCCAUCUUAAUCUGCCACAACGCAAAUCUGGUGUUACGAUUCAACAGCAUAAUUUCAUACUUCAAAGACGUCAUUACCGUAAUCUAUAUAUCUUAAAGAAAAGAGAAAUAAAAAUAAAGAAGACAUAGAUUUUUACAUGAAAAUCCUUUCGGGAAAAAACCACGAGCAAAGGAGAAGAAAAUUCACUAUGUCGAAUUCGAAUAAUUACAAGAGGAAUAGACUAUGCCUAUUUUAUAGGCUUGUAAAACCAUAUACUAAUAGGAGUGUAGCAAGAUUAAAACACCUUAUUCUAAUCAAUAUCAAAUAGAUGGAGUUUAAUAAGGUUUAAAAAACCUUAUUCUAAAAUAAAAUAAAAGAAGUGUAAUUCUAUAUGGAUUUUACUUUUAUUUUAUUUUACCAUUGUAUUUUAUUUAAAUAAGGAUUCAGGUCACUUAAUUCUAACAGACCCUCUCGCAGUCAAUAUUUUAAAACAUAUGCAAAAUUUUCAAUUUGGUUUCAGGGAUCAUUAAAUGCAUAGAUAAUAUCAAGUGACAUUUUUCCUAAUCUAAAUGACAUUCUUAUCAUAUAAGCAUGGCAUGUUUAUCGAUUUCAUUAAUCAUUCAAUCAUGCAAAUAUAAACAACAUCUAUCUAACAAUUGAAAAUAAAAUCGACUCUGACCAACCAAAGGUUUCCAUGGUUUUAUUCUAAGAAUAAGAAAAAGAAAACAAGUAGGUUACAAAGUUUACUCAAAAGAAUUCUUUAGGUCAUCAAGUUCUCUAAAUAGUUGAUCAUUCCAUCAUUCAGCCACACAAACUCAUCUAAUCUUUAUCAAAACUUGUUUCCAUCAUAAACCAAAAAUUUACGAAAAACAAAUGGGAAAAGAACACCUUAGGAGUCGACUUUUAGAUUCCUAGAACCCUUAGAAGUGAUUUUGAAAACUUUAACAUAUGGUUUCUUCAAAAUCUAUAAUGCUUGAAUUCAAUCCCAAAACAAGUCCACCUUAGAGUCUUCCAGAAAAGUCAAGGCACACCCAAUUCAUAGAAUCGGAAAUAGUUUCAAAUAUGGUUCAAAGAAUGAAACCCUAAUUUUUUACUUUCAAGAUUGGAAAUAUGUUGAAUUUUCAUAUCCCAUUAAUCUUGAUCUUGUUUUUUUAAAUUGAACUUUUCCAUGAUGUCUAAAACUUCGAUUGUAUGAACAAUCAAAAUUUUCACUUUAAUUAAAAAUGAAAAACUAGAUCAAAUACAUACCUGACCAAAACCCGAUGUUCCCUAAAGAGGGUGUCAACUUUCAAUAUUCUCUAAUUACAAUAAAUUAAAAACCUACAUGGAGAUAAUAAUCCACAAACUAAUUACAUAUCCAAAAAUAACAUAAAUACAACCAUUGUAAUUCUAGGAACCACAACCUUCGCAAAAUUAUAUAAUAAUAGUUUUAUAAUUUACGCAUCCAUUCACACACAAUUUAUACAUGCAAUAGAUUAAGAAUGCCACUUUCUAUUAAUUUAAUCACAAAAGAGAAAAAGAGAUCAAUCAAAUCAUCAAUUUAUACUAAUAGACAUAACAUGACCUAGGCUCUGACGUCAAUUUUGGAAAUGAAAAUGUUUUAGGUGACACAACGAAAUAUUAAAAUUUUUCAUAAAACGGUAUAUUUAUAUUGAUAUCUAUAGUAAUAAAUCAAAUACAGUACAUGUGUUUUCGAGCUUAAGGAGAUGCUCAAAAUGUAAUUUGGCUCCUAGGAAUGUGUUGGAUUUGUCGAACGAUUCAAUUGGAAUUCAAAUCCUUCAAGCUUUCAAGCAAAUAAUCUUUUCCGCUAUUCUUGAACUCUCCGAUAUUUAGAGAGUGGGUUUUAAUGCAAAGAGUCGAACGCAAGAUGAAAACUGAGACUACGCAAGGGGGUAAGUUAACUUCUUUUAAAGUGUGGGUCUAAAAUCAAAAUUUAUUUUCUAAAUUUGAAUUAUAACUGCCAAUGAAAUUGCAAUUAUAAUCUCACAAAUUUAAACAAGAUAAACUAGAAAAAUAUAAUCUAUUUGAGUUUAGGGAAAAACAACUCAAAUAAAAUUUCACUAAAUUUUGACAGAAUUCUCCCUUAGCAUGCAUAUAUGUAAUUCAACACCCCCUAGUCUCAAUUUAUAUAGGAAAAAUCACAAGAUUUAUAUAUUUGAGCAAAGUGAGCAUAAAAAUAAUUAUUUAAUAGAGGAUCGAAUCUUCUUAGGACUCCCAAACGAGUAAAAAGUCAAUGGCACCAAUGAAUAGAACUCCUUGUGUGCCAUAGAACUCAUGCCUAAAAUGGGCAUCUUACACCGACUUGUAUUAGAUUUAAUUAUAUAUGCUAUCUAAUCUCAAUUUAUAUAUAUAAAAAAAAACAAGCUUUUAUAGUUAUCCAACCAAUUAUUUAGAUUUUAUAUUCAUAAAUAAUUAUUUUUAGUAUUAGUUAAUCAAUUAAGUCAAUUAAAUAAUUUACACAACUUAAUUCUAAUUCCAUUAAAAUAACGACGACUUUACCAUAAAUGAAUCUAUGCGUAAAUUAAGUUAAUUACUCAAAUAAAAUAUAACUACAAUGACUAAUUAAUUUAAUUUUCACUUUGGACACAAUAUUUAUUUAAUUUCAUACAAUUAAAUAAUAUUCCCAAAGAAAUUAAAUUAAUUUCUAAGUUAUCUCUUAUCUUCUCGAAAAAAUAUAUUUACUGCAGAUAAUAAUUCAAGCAAUCUAUUUCUCAUUUGUUGUUUUCUUCCUUUUAUUCGAACGGGUCUUAUUAUAUAGGAAAGAAGGUCAUGACAUUCUUUUAAAUUUUCAUAUUUUACCCCUAGAUGGUCAUUAUGAACAAUCCCAAAUCCAUUGGGACAUCCUUCAAUAAUAGUUGCUAUCUCCUUCAAAUGUUUGUCUUCUAUUUAUUCUAUAUAUGAAAGGUCAUGACCUUCCUUUAAAUUUGUAUAUUUUACGCCUAACUAGUCAUUAUGAGCAAUCUCGAAUCCAUUGAGACAUCGUGACCUUCUUAAACAAUGGUUAUGAUAUCCUUCAAAUGCUGACAAAUUUCACCUCAAUUUAGUUGCAAAAGUUGCGGCUUUCCGAGGUUUGUGUAGCGACCUUGAUUUGGAUUCUUGCAAUUUCCAUGCCAUGUUACAUAAACUCACUUCAUUACCUUCCCUUAAAUUUCCAUAUUUUGCCCCCACGUGACCUCCUAAAUGUUGGAAAAUUCCACCUCAACUCCGCUUCAAAAGACGUGACCUCCCAAGGUCUGUGUCGCAACCUUCAUCUGGAUUCUUGCAAUCUCCAUACCAAGUUAGUAGCAACAAGGCAGGUGUCACACUCCUAUUGGGAUUUGUGAGGUGACUCCAGUGGAUGCACUCCUUAUGUCCUGUAGGGGAUUCGGUCUCUAUUCACUUUGGAUAACUCCAUCUUUUCCUAUGUCGAACUCAACAAAAAAGAAAGCUUUGAUUCACGAUUUAGUCGAAGAUUAAAGUUUUUUUUUAUCUCAAUUUCAUAUUAAAAGUAUCAGUUUUUUCUAUUUUAUAAUGACUGUUAACAAAAUCUGUUAAGCCACUCGGGUCAAUGGAAAAGUAUAAUGUGACUUAUUUUUGGCCAAUUAAAAAAUGCCAUAUGGUAAUUAGAUUUAUUUAAAAUAAAAAUAUUAAAUUUAAAUUAAAAAUAAAAAUAAAAAAUUGUAAUAUUAAAUAUUUAAAUAUUAAGAAAUAUAGUUGACUUUGAUUGACCGUUGAUCGACCAUUGAUCGAUAUUGACUAAUUGUUGAUCGACAUUGACCUGCCAUAUGACGUUAUUAGAAUACACCACAUAUCAUUUUAUUUUUUAAUAUUAUAUAUAUUAUAUCUUAGAUUGCAUAUAGCCCUUAUUUUAAGAAGUGGGCAAUGAAUGAGCAAAACAGUCUCUCCGUGUUUUUUUAUAUAAAGUAUAAUAAUAAAUUUAGUCCUCAACCUUUACACUUUUAUUCAAUUUGACCCAUAUUUUUUUAUUAGAAGUAAAUUAGAAAGUUUUUAAAGAGGCAAAAAAAAAACCUUAGUAACAAAUUUUAAAAAAAAAAUUAAAGUCCUUCUAAAAAUUAUUAAAAAAAUCUUAAAAAUUAUAAACAAAAAUUUUAAAGCUAUAGAAUUUGUAUUAAAAAUAACAUUGAAUUUUUAAAGAAAAAUGGGGAUUAGAUUUAAAAAAUCUUAUAAGCAUCAGACAAAAGCAUUGAAACAUAAAGUGUUAUGAGGUUGGGUAAUUUCUCCAACAUUUGCAUGUAACUGAAUAGACCAAAAUGAGCUAUGAGAAUCAAUCACGUGUCUUUCACGUGUUUUGGGGGACAAUUACUAAAGUUUCGUUUCCGUUUAUUGACUUUAUACACUUUGUUUUCGAAUGAUUUUUUUUUUUUGUCUUCUUUCAAAUCUAAUCUCAAUUUUUUCUUUAAAAAAAUCAAUUUUAAUGAUCCGUAUUGUUACUUUUAAUAAAAAAUUAUAAUUUUAGUAUUUUAUAUUUUUUUAUAAAUUUUGUUUAUAAUUUUUAUCUUUUAAAAAAUAAUUUUUAAAUGUUUAAAGGGACUUGAUUGAUUUCUUUUAAUUAGUUACUAAGGCCUUUUUAAAUGUUUAAUUUGUUUAUAAUUUUUUGGUCUAAGGCCUUUAUAGUAUUUUCUUCUAAUAGGGGUCAAAUUGAAUAAAAAUGUAAAAGUUGAGGACUAAAUUUGUUAUUAUCUAUUAUAUAUAAAACGCUAAAAUAAACAUUUAAUGGCACAUUUUUAAUGAAGGAGUUGUAUUGCUCACUCAUCUAAUGUACAAGGACCAAUUUACUUAAUUUUUUCAGUAAAAAAGUAAAAUGCAAUCUAAAGUAUAGUAAAGAGAUUUUGUCGUACUUUUAUUGAUAUUAAAAUAACUAUAGAAAAUAAAAUAUAAUAAAAGAAGGUCCAAAUAGACCUGGUCAGGGGUCAAGCCACCCGCCCAAACUCGCUCAAAAAAUAAGAAGGUUUGAAUAAAAAUAUGAUGCCCGAAAGAUGGGCUUGAAUAAAAUUUAAGAUCCGUUUUCUGUAUAGGUUGCACCUUGGGCAAGAUUUUUUUGGCCUGAGUUUGGCUUGGCCCAACCCGAAUAUAUUAUGUUAUAAAAAUAUUAUAUUAAUUAUAUGUUAAAUAAUAAUUGUAUAUAUUUAUAUUUAUAUUAAAUCACUAACCAAAUAACAAUUAAACCCAAAACCUAAAAAAAAUCAUCCAACUAAAUAACCCAACCCAAAAUAUAAACUUUAAAAAAACUAUAUUUAAUAAUUUGUGUUUUUUAAUAUAAUAAACCAUUUAUUAUAUUUAUAGUAGUACUUUUUAAUGUGUCAAAAAACUUUUAUUUUAAUGUUCUUUACUGCAUUUAGUGUAUUGUAUUUUUUUCAAAAAUAUAAAUAAAAUUAAUCUAAAAAAAUUUAAAUAUGAACUGACUAGAUUGGGCCGAGCCUAAACUUGAAAAUUUGAACCAAAUAUCUCGCAUAGGUUCGAUCUAGCCCGACCCAUAUGACUAUGAACACUUUUAAAUCCAAGUAAUUACUUAUUUAUAUAAAAAUAAAAUAAAAUAUUAAAAAUUCGAGAACCUUCUUUGAAUCUAAAACCUCGAAAUUCAUUUCUAAACUCAUAAAAUUCUCAAAACCCAUUUCUUUUUCUUUGGGCUUCAUACUAAACCAGUUUAUAAUUAAUUCACAAAAAAAAUUUCGACAUUAUUUGUUAGAGUGAGAAUGAUAUAAAAUUUGAGUUUCUCUAAUACUUGUCCAGUUCAAUAAACUUGAGGGUAAAAGUAUAUUCUACUAAAAAUUAGAUUAUAUUUUGUUUUUUCUAUUUAAAAAAUAAAUAAAUAGUCCCUAUAUGUUAAAUCAAAGAGUAAAUUAGUUAUUUUUAUUAAAAAAAUUCAUCCAUUUGUACGGUUAAAAACUUAUGUAACUGACCGAUAUACCUUAUGCUGACGUAUAGAGACCAAUUUUUAAUAGUUGACUCUUUAGUCUAACAUACAAAAAUUAAUUUGCUCAUUUUUUAAAUAAAAGAACAAAAUGUAAUCUGACUGUUAGAAUAAGAACCUCCACGAUACUUUUUACUAAAUUUUGAUACAUCAAAAGCAACUACUUGAUAUUCCCUAUUACUUUUCCCCUUUAUUAUAAUGAUUGGAAGAAAUUUUUUUCACUAAAUUUAUAUGCUAAAUCUUUUAGGUAACAUUAUUAUAAUGAUUGCCAAAUAUUAUCUUGCAAUGAUAUUACAAUGUCGCGACGAGAAAUAUCAUGGCUAGAUGAGGAAUCUCAUCGUCUAGACCAGGCCAAAACAAUAAGUGACGUCGCGACAUUGAGUGGCCUGACAUUAUGAUGUGACAAAUUAUUUGGCGACGUCUCGAAAUCAAUCUUGAAAUUUGAAUUUGUUACAAUUUGGUCUUAAUUCGAUCUCAAACUAGUAUUAGAGCUUUCGUAUGCUCGUAUAAAAUCCGGGAAUGUUUACUUAUCAUAUUGUUUGUUUAUAAUGUUUGCAUUUGGAUGUUAAAUGGUUUGAAUUAACUUUAUUUUGAUCGUAGUUGUUUCGGCAACGAAUGCGAUACCUUGUAACUCGGACCCAACAAUCAAGUCAGGUAUAGGGUGUUACAUUACAUAUAUAUUUUAUGGAAAGAAAAAGAAAAGAUCAACCCCUUAAUUAAAUGUACUUAUCUAUUUUUAACCAAAAAAGAAAGAAAGAUUGAUGCCUGAGUAAUCAUUUUAACUAACACUUAUUAUCAGUGCUGUUUUAUUGAAAAAAAAAAUCAAUCUCUUUAAUAGAAGCAACAAUCCUUUAAAUUUACCAAACGACCUGUGUCAUUCUUAUCAAAUGCGUUCUUCAUAUAUUGAACACUGGUGAAGAAAACACCCAGAGUUCUUGAUGAACACUGCCAAUAUUUCAAUAUUAUUCAAUGAAUGAAUAUCUGAGUACACUUCUCAUACUAAAUUUUCAUUGCAAUUACCUGUUAAUAAUCUUUCCAAUAUAUUAAAUUGGAAUAUGAUAUCUCAAAAAUGUUAUGAUUUGUGUAUAAACUAUUUUUUAGCUCACCAAAUUGUUGCUCUUUGGUACCAUAAGUUUCAUCCUCUUUGGUUUUUACUGAUCACGUUUCCUCUGAUUUCUCUUGUUUUUUUCUAAUAUUGUUUGACCGGGAGGAACUGAAAAACCUUGGGGACUUGGCUUUUAUUUGUCAAAGAAAUUUUAGGUGUCGGCCACAUUCGCAAACUGAAUGAAAGUUCAGCUGCAAUUGGCAUAAUUUAGAUGACACCAAGUGUCCUUAAAUGAAUUAAAGGGUUUUUAUGGAAUUGUUUAUAUUAACGGUUAGAUUGUAUUUCAUUUAUUUUAAUCAAGAAAAUAGAUAAAUUAGUUUACGUACGUUAAAUUAAAUAAUAAAUUAAUAUUUUUAUUAAAAAUUCUAUCGAUUUUUACUAUUAAAAAAUAAUUCUGUUAGCCACAUAAAAAAAAGAUCAAUAUGCUCUUUGAACUAACAUUUAUAGAAUAAUUUAUUCACUUUUUAAAUAAAAAAAAGUAAAAUAUAAUUUAACUUUUUAUACAAGAAACUCCAUAAUAUUUCUACCAAUUUUGUGCUUUAAAAAUGCAGUUAAAUUUAAUAUCUAAUUGUUGGUUGAUGCAAGUAAAUAUGUCAUCGUAAUGUUAUCACCCAAGACGCUCAAAAGUCCUCCCAUUUCCAUCGCUUAAUGUGCCAUAGAAAAACUCUUUCAUCAAUUGCCUCUCUCCGUACGUAAAAGGUGAUGAUAAUGAGGCUAAGAUCCAAAUACAUGGAACUGACAAGCGCAGAAUUUCACCUGCUAAAUCAUUAUUCGAGUAUACAAGUCAAAGCAUCAACUGACCAACGUGCUCUAUCUCUCUCUGGGUGCUUCACAGAAUGAAUUUCAGCUUUGGGAAUUUUCAUAUCAAUCGUGUCAUAAGUACCAGGAUUCUAUAACCUCAAAAUGUUGUAAAAUAAUAAAAACGAAAAAACCAUACAUCAUGCAUGUACUUUUAAGUUAAAAUCAUAGAUCCUAAGGUCCUCGAAUCAUGAUCAAAUAUUUGGGGUUUAUCCUUAUCACUUCCCUCACUGUGCUUUUAUCAUAUUAAUCAGCUUCAGUCAUGGCUUGUCUCCGGGGAGGGUCCCCCACUGCCUUAAUAACACGCGUGCGCCCGCAGAUAAGGUCACAUUUUUGUCAUUCUCCAUUUUCAUCUUCAACCCUGGCCACUAAUAUCCUCAAUAAUAAAUCCAAAUUACCAGGUCUUAUGGCUUUUUAUUUUUUCUUUUUUCUAAAGUAUCCCUUAAAUUUUGGGGUCCUCAAUACUUAACAUGGUACCACUACUUACUAGUCGGUGGGGUUUUGAGUGUUUUGGGCAUAUGCACCAUUAACAGAUCAUAUCAAUCAACUCAAAUUGUAAAAGAUAAACAACACACUAUAUAUCUUAAAGCAUGAAUUCCCAUCUCUCUGAAAUUACAAACUACAAAAGCUCUACUCCAUCAAUUAUUGGUUCUCAUCUCUUCUUUUGGAUCCUAUUCUUUUCUCAACUUCUUUUCAAUCUAUUCAUAGCCUUGACCCCUAUUGCUCAAUUACUAUGGACAAUUUUGAGGUCCUAUCAUCAACCUCCUAAAUUCAGAGGUAAUUUUAAAGAUGGCAAGGAACAGUUUUUUUUUUUACCUUCGUCACUUUAUUUCACUGAGAAAAUAAUUUUGUAUAAAAAUAUCAUUCCUAUUCUUAUAAAUUUUCUUGAAAUCAUUUUCUAAAUUUGCUCCUAAUGACACAGACACAAUAUAAAUAUAUUUAUUACAAAAUAUUAUAUUUACAUUUUCUUUUGACAAUCAAAAUUUAUUUUAUAAUAAGAUAAUAUUCUAUAAUAAUUAACAUCAUAUAUAAACUUAAUAAUAUACAAUGUCUAAUUAAAACUUAAUUUAAAUUACAUAUACGAGAGUUGAUAGUGACACAUUUGAGUUGGAAGUGAUAAAUGAAGCUAAACAUGGUUUAAAUGAAUACUCAUAUUUAUAUAAUUAAAAUAUUCUUAUUUUAUAUUAUAUGUUUGCUUUGAUGUAUCAAGCUUUUGAUAUAACAACAUUUAAGAUAAAUUUUUAUCUAUAUUUCCUAAGCCAUUUGGUGAAAAUAAUUAUUGAAAAUUUUGUUAAUUAAACAUUUUCAAUACAUUUCAAAGACUUGUAAAAAUACUCAAAAACAUCUUUUAAAUAUGUUUUAAUUUAAUUUAUCCAAAUGUUUUUGAGUCAAUCCAAAAUGCUUUCAAGUGUUUUAAACUCAUUUUAUACAAGUUUGGGAAGUUGUAUCAAUACUUGGAGAAAGUUCUACUGAUAGAAGCAAGUCAAAGAGCACCCCAAGCAUUCCUUUUGACUUCUACUGAUACAAGUCACUUAUACCCAUGCAAGUACAUUUCUACCUAUACAAGCCCACUUUUACCCCUACAUUUUGUGAGCUGUAUUGACGCAAGUCUGUCUGCAAUGUUUCCAACGGCUAGAAACUAUCCCCCAACAGCUAUAAACGAUCACAAAAUUUCCCCUUAUCAUAUUUACACAUCAAGAACACUUCAAGAUACAAGAGAUGAACAUCAAGCUCAACAUAUACAUAUACAUUUAAACUAUGUAAUAUCACUAUAUACAUAUCAAUUUCAUAAUCAAGCUCAACAUCAACUAAUUUCCAUUCAACUAAACCAUUGUACCUCAAUGUGGUACCCAAAUCAUACCAAUUCAAUUUGUACAAAUCUAACCUAUAUUAUAUAACAUUCAACCAUUUGCAAUUCAUUCAAUUCCAUAGUAUUUCCUUCAUAUUAGUCAAUUGCUACCUAGUCAAUAUCUGUUUCACAUAUAGAUAUUCCAUAGCAUCACACAUUACCAUAUUAAAGGCUACAAGUAUAACUUGUACUAAUAUUGUCUCACAACAUAACCAUUUGAUACUACAUAUUUGUCUAUGCUAUUAUAUAUUUAAUAAUUUUCAAUUUAACCCUUUUGAUGCCAAAAACAUUAUAUAAUAACAAUUAAACUCUAAAGCAAAAAAAUUAUAAUACAAAUAUAUCAUCAAUUAAUAAAGUAAGUCACAUAUGAACUUACCUGGAAAAAUAACAAGCAAUUAAGGUGUUAGGGACUAAUGUGCAAAUUUUCCUUUUUCUCAAUUAUCUUUUUAUUAGCUUAAAGCUCGAUCUUUUAACAAUUUAUUUAUAUUUAUCAAUUUCAAACAUCUUAAAACAGACUAUUGUAAUCAUAUAGUAAUUCAAUUUAAUGUUUCAGAUGUCUCCUAAAGUUUUGCAUUUUAUUUAAUUUAGUUCCUAAAACUUAAACAACCAUAACAUACAAAUCUAAGCUCCGAUUUUUAAUCUAAUUUCAAUUACAUCCUUAUACAGCCCUCUAUUAUCUAUAAUUUUAGAAAUUAAACAUCAGUUUUGAAUUUUUCACACUUUAGUACCUAUAUUCAAAAACUAACAAUUAAACUUUACAAACUAGUUAUUUUUCAUUUCUAAACUUAAAAGCUAACAUUUUAACACCAAAACUUGAAGCAUUCAUCAAUGACAAUAUUUUUUAGACAGAUGUCUCGUGACUUUAAGAACAUGUCUUAAGGCAUCUAGCCUUGAGCAGUUUCUAAGUGCAUUUUUAGAUUCCUAUGAGCAUAUAAGGGUGUAUGAUACUUAUGCAUAUACUUAGGGGGAAUAUCUUAGUUUGAAAUUUUCAAUAAAAAUAAAAUUACUUUGUACCUCAUUGAUCUUUAUUGAAAAUCAUUAGACUUUUCAAGAAAAUAUGAUGCUUAAAUAUAUAUAUUUGAUUUCUUGAAAUUAAGGUCGGAAGAUCUUUUGAACAACUUUGCUUUAUCUACUAAACUUUGUUGAAAAUGUUCAAGAUGAUAAAAAAAAAUGUUUUUAUCUUGUUUUGAACCUUUGAUGGCCAUUUUACAAAAUAUAAAGUUCUUAAACUCUUCAUUUAAGUUAUGAUUACUCCAUUGCCUUAAGUUAUAUAUAAGGUACUUGAACAUGCUUUAGGAACAUGAUUAGGCUUAGAAUUAACCUUUAGAACUAGUUUUAGAACUAGACUUAGGAACAGAUUAAACUUAGGACUUAGGAUUUAAGACUCCUCAUUGGUAUCUCGCUAUUACUUGAUAUAUCCUUAGAUACCUUUGCAAUGACAUAUUUUGUUCUUUAAAUUAAAAAUAUGGUUUGUACUAAUGUCAUAAUCACCACCCUCACAUCACACUCACAUUGGUAUCCAUCGUUUGCUCACUUUGCUUUACUAUUGAUUAGAUGCCAUUGUCAUCCCUCAUGCUUUAUAGAAUUGUCAUUUAAGCAUGAUGAUAUUAUGUGAUGAUUAGUAUAGUUGUUGAAUGAACUGAACCUUAUUUGCUCAUGUAGUUUUUCUCAUUCAAUGGAGUCUACCUUGUAUGAAUUUCUUCUUAUGUUCUUCAUAAUUAGUAUCAUUGUAGCUUUGAUGAGCUUUUGAUAUCCAUUUUUGACACCAUGGUACUUUUCAUGCCUUAUUUCAUUCAUUAAUAAUUGAUAUCUAGAAAGGAGGAUAAAAUCAUUAGGAUAUGCAUCUAGCAAUGGGAAGUACUAGAAACAAAAAUUGCAUGAGAACUUAUUGAAUUAUCCUUGACAUGCAAUUCUUUGAUUCUUGAUUCAUGCCUUGUUGACAUUUCUUGUUAACAAUUGGUAUUUUUGUUUAAGUAUCAAUGUUAUAUUUCAUUAGGCAUGAAUUUAGAUGAACUUUGAUGCAAUUAUGACUUAUUUGUAUGAUCCUUAGAAUUAUUUGCAUAAAAUGUUCUUUAUAAAUGGAUUUCAAGUAUGCUUAUUUGUCAUAUCAUUGCUUCUUGAAGUUCAUUGUUUACUUGUGAGAAUACAAGUGAUCUUUAUAUGAAUAUAUUAUGACUCAUUGUGUUCUUGUAUCAAUCUUUAUUUUCCUUAAGCCUCAAAUUUUUUUAAAAAAAAAUUCUUUAAAUUGAUUGCUUUUUGAUAUACUAAAAAGGGGGAAAAAAAGAGAUGAAAUUUGCAUGUGCAUUGGUUUUAGAUAUGUUUAUCUUGUAGAUGCUUAUGUAAAUCAAUUGAUGUCCAUACAUAUAUGCUUAUUUGAUGCAUUGCUUAAAUGCAUGAGAUUUAUAAAGCAUUCGGAUUCUACAUUGAAUUUCUUAUAUAUGCUUAUUUGUCAUAUCUCUUUUUGAAAUUCUAUGCUCUUGUUUAAGUAUUUGGGCUUAAUUUUUUUCAAGGAAUAAUUUAUUAAGGGGGUGUUGUGUUUUGAAAAUGUCUAAAUGAUUUAGGAGGAGUCUUUCAAAAUGCAAAUUUUUCAUAGAUUUUUGUUAUAUCAAAAAGGAAAAGAUAGUUAGCUUUGAUUUCCCAAACUUUUGAUAUAACAACAUUUAAGAUAAAUUUUUAUUUAUAUUUCCUAAGUCAUUUGGUGAAAAUAAUUAUUGGAGAUUUUGUUAAACAUUUUCAAAGCAUUUUGAAGAUUUGUAAAAGUACUCAAAAACAUUUUUAAAUGUGUUUUAAUUUAUCUAAAUGUUUUUGAAUCAAUCUAAAAUGUUUUUAAGUGUUUUAAACUCAAUUUAUGCAAGUCUGAGAAAUUGUAUUGAUACUUGGAGAAAGUUCUACCAAUAUAAGUAAGUCAAAGAGCACCCCCAAACAUUCUUCUAGACUUCUACAGAUACAAAAUUUUCCCUUGUUAUAUUUACACUUCAAGAACACUUCAAGAUACGAGAGAUAAACAUUCAAGCAUAGAAAUCAAGAGAAAAGUCUUGAAUUCUUUAUUUUCUCUUGUACAUAUUCAUUGAGAGCGUAUUGUAAUAUCCUUUCCCACUCACAAAGAUUUGUAUUUAGAGCUUCAAUUUGCAAACACACACCUAUUAGAGGUUCAUUAUUAGUUUGCCUAUCUUCUCUUUGAAGUAAAGAGCAUACUUAAGGUUUUUGAAGUAUAAAACCUUAAAUAGAUUGUAAAAGGUUUCUAGUUGAGUUACAAAAGUGAUAGGGUUUUAGUUAAGCCAUAACAAACUAGGAGAAAUGUUUUAUCUUAGCCUUGUGAGAAAGAUAAGGAUUGUAAAUGUUAUACAUUUUCCUUGAAAUGUAAUAGUGAAUUAGGAAAUCCUUGGUUGAGGUAUAUCAAGGUAAUGGAGGUAGGCAAUUGGGGCCAAACUACUAUAAAUCGAAUUGUUCAAGUUUUUCUUCACUUUCCUUAUCAUUUAGAAAAAAAUUGUAGAAAUUUCUAAAAUACCAAUUCAACCCUCUUUUGAUAUUUUUGGGCCUAACACUAUAAAACAUUAAUUAGUAAUAUUUAUAAAUUAUAAUAUAUAUAUUAUUAAAAUAUUAAUAUAGAUAGUUAGUAAUAAUUUAUUAUAUUAUUAAAUAUAAAUAAUUAAAUAUGUAUUUAAAAUAUUAAAUAUUAUCAUAUUUGAUAUUAAAAUUUUAAUAUUUUUAACUAUAACAUAAAAAUUAUUAAUAAUAGUAAUAUUAGACUUGAUUCAAGCUAAUUUUUAUAUAAAAUUAAAAUUACUCGUAAAUGAGUUGUUUUUCUAAAAAUUACUUACGCUUUUUAAAAUGGUAACUCAAUUUACGAGAAAAGAGGCUUAAUUUUCAUUGACUAGUAAAUAAUUUUCCAUGUACCAACCUACUUUUGAUGAAAUAAACACAAAAAAAAUUUAUAGAUCACUUUUAAUGAAACAAUCACACCCUUUAUAUUAUACUAGUUUCUCAUAAAUAAAUCAACCACGUAUUGUGAAGUCUUAUAAAUAAUAAAUAAUUAUAAAUAAAAUAUAUAAACUUAUAUAUAAAAUCAAAACACAAGCAUUUUAGUAAAUUUAAUUUAAAAUUUUUUUUAAUAAAAACUCAACCUAACCCUCAAAUUUGAUUUUUUUUAAACUACAAAUAAAUCUCCAGUUUUGAAAUUUAAUAGAUUUUGUCUUAUGAAUAUAAUAUUUUAUGUUAUAUUGAAUUGUUUUUGAUAAAUUUUAAAUAUAAUAAUUUAAUAAUUUGAUUUUUUAAUAAAAAUAAAAAGACAAAUUAUUUUAAAUUUAAGUUUUUUUCAAAAAAAUACUAAACAUUUUAAAUAUAAGUAGUUAUUUAAAUAUGUUAUCUUAAAUAUUAAUUUUAUUUUCCAAUAAUAAAAAUUCUAGUAUCCGAACUUAAAUGAAAAUGUACACCACCAUUUGUUUCCCCACACUUUCUCGGUUCAAAUUUCCCUUUUUAGUCUUAGGAAUCUAGCAAAUUAGAAAUAUGAACUGUUGAAUGUGGUCAAAUUUAGCUGCACUGACUUUAAGUUACUUAUUGGUAUAAAAAUGGAAGAAAAGAACACUGGUUUUUGCCUUGACAGUGCACCAAUAGUCUCAUUAUUAUUAUUUAUAUAAUAAAAUUUAAUUAAAAUGGUUACAAAUUUAGAUAUUUAAUGUUAUAUGUUUAGAAAAUAAAAGAUUUUUAGUAAUAAAAAUAAAGAUUUAAGAGAAAAUUAAUUUAAAAAAAAGCACUUUUUUAUUAUCUAUUUAGCAUUAUUUAUUACUUGUUGCAAGACUUUCUAACAUGCUUUCAGUAUGCGGCCUACCUCUGAUGAGGGAAAACCCCAUCAUUCCACGUUUAGUUUAGCUGUAUAAUUUAUAUGAUAUAUUUUGUUCAGUCAACCACGUUUCUUCUGAAGUGACUCUAGAAACCCAAUAAAUUGAAGAAAUUAUUCUUUUUAGUAGGAUAUUUAAACGAAAAUAAAGUUGUUUGAUUGUAGCAUUUAAACUCGAAACCUUCCCUAUAUUAUGAAUAAAAAAAAAGAAAAUGGAGGAAAUGAUUGUGCAUAAGAAAUUCCAUAGAUUUCAAUUUCAGGCCACCUUUUCUCCUUUUUUGUAGGCUUUUAUAUAUAUUAUUUAAUUUGUAAUUAGAUUUUAGGUUUUCUGGCAAAGUGUAUGUUUGCACGGUUGAAUGGGGAACUUAUCUGCUCUUUUAAGGUCCAUACAGUUAAGAGUGUGAUAUAAAGGAGCAUGACCCCACUUUGUACUUGAUUUAAAUGAUCAUUAACACUCUUGAUUUGGUUCUUUUUCUUCAAUUGAUUGAUGAUCAUAAUACUUUGAAUGUUCCAAUUUCAAGUCUUUCACUAUUUUGGUGUUUUUAUAUGAACAGGGAAAGGACCCAUUUGUGGAACUGUUCUUAGCUUUGCUACUCGCCACCUCUGCAGCCUAUAAUUCAUAGACUGAUUGUACAAUUUGAUGCCAACCCCAUCUAAAAGAAUUUUUCUAAGGGGGUCACAUGUGCAGAAACUCCAAUUGGUGUUGUAUGCUUUUUUCUCGUUUUCUACUUUCUAGGUGUUGUUUGGAACAUUGUUUUAGACCCCUUUGAAGCCUAUAAAUUUGAGUUCACUAUGUAGCUUCACCUUCAAAAUUUGCCCAUAAUAACAAUAGCUUUGAGCCUUUUUAUCAAACACAAAAAUAUGAGAGCAGCUAUGCCUCCUAUUAAUACAAAGAACAUGUCUACUCCUCUAGAAGAGGAGAGUGAGCUGAGAAGAGGACCAUGGACCCUUGAAGAGGAUACUCUCCUAACACAUUACAUUGCUCGUCAUGGAGAAGGGCGUUGGAAUAUGUUGGCAAAAUGUGCAGGUACCAAACACAUCCAUCAACUCAUGUACAAGUUAUAAGCUUGUUAUACUUAUACCCUAUGUUCUUGUUCAUCCUUCCUCACUCAGGUCUCAAGAGAACUGGUAAAAGUUGCAGGCUAAGGUGGCUGAAUUAUUUAAAACCAGACAUUAAGCGUGGAAACCUGACUCCCCAAGAACAGCUCUUGAUUCUUGAACUUCAUUCCAAAUGGGGAAACAGGUACUUGUAGAGGUUCAUUUUUGUGUUUAUCAAUGUUUAAUAAUGACCUGGUAUCUAUUUGUCACUUCAGGUGGUCGAAAAUUGCACAGCAUCUUCCUGGAAGAACUGACAAUGAGAUCAAGAACUACUGGAGAACAAGGGUGCAAAAACAGGCACGCCAACUGAAUAUCGAGUCCAACAGCCAGAGAUUCCUUGAUGCGGUUCGAUGUUUUUGGAUGCCAAGAUUGGUUCAAAAAGUGGAGCAGGCCUCACCUUCUUCCUCCUCCUCCUCCUCUUCUUCUUACUUGAAAGAAAUGUGCACCCAAAGCUCAGUUCCUUCUCAAUUAUCUAGCUGCUGCACAGUCCCUUCAUUCCCAACAGUUUCCCCACUUGCAAACAAAACCACAGACAUUUCAAAUUCAAGUUCAGUCACCACCCAGAACAUUUGUCCCACAGAUUCCAUCAACAAUAUUUCAGACCAAACUGAAAUUCCCCAACACCUAACAGGUUCCAACGUAUAUGGCCAUACAACUCUUGACCAAUGUUACAAUAUCGACAGCAAUGAUUAUGGCAUGGAGGGUAUCAGCUUUGCAUCUAUGUCAGGUGUAGGCUUCUAUGAAGGAACCCCAUCUGAAGGCAACUGGAUGUGUAAUGAGAUGAGUGAUGAUUUGUGGAACAUGGAUGACAUAUGGCAGCUUAGAUCUAUAUAACCAGUGGCAGGGGGGAAUCAAUACUUGUAUCAGAAAUCAAGCAUUAUUGAAGUGAUUAACAAUAAAGAGAUUACUCUGUAGUAUUACUGCUAUUGUUAGUGUAUAUUAGUCUUAUCUGGAUAUUAUCAUUUCAUAUAUAAAAAUAAUUUAUUCAAUUUCUACGAGGAAAUCAAAUUGAUUGCACCUUGACCCCUUCCAAGGCUUAACUGAAUGAUAGGAAGAGAAGAAAUUGUAAUGGUGUGUAGUCAACUCAAGGAAAUUAUGGAGAGAAGUGACAACUCAUACCAUCAAAAGUGGAGUCACAUCCAUUUUUUGGAACAAUUAUAUGUAUUGUUAAUUUAGACUUUAGUGUCAUAAUUUUUGGUUUAAAGAUAGAAAAAAAGGAGUGGAAACAGUCAAAUUCGGUUCUUUGACAAUUACAAUGUCCCAACAACGACUCUCAUCGCCUUUAUUGCUAGUAAUUAUAUUUCCCAAUAACCACGGAGAAAUUAGAAAAAUGAAGGGAAUUUCUCCAGGGUUUUCCCCCUUCCACAUAUUAUAUAUAUAUAUAUAUAUCAUUUAAAUGAAAUAAAAUAUAGCCUUAACUUGGCUUUCAACAAUUAAAAUGAUUAUCCGACAAUGACUAUGCAAACCUAAGUUUAAUUGAGGCUAAUAAUAAAUGUUGAUAAAAUGUUGUUUUUAUAUAGAGUCAUCAGUGAGAUAAAAUUCGAGGUAUACGACUAGUGUAAUCAUGAUAAGAUUCAAUUCAACACUUACGUGCACUAAUUUUGUUAAGAUAAUACAUUAUCAUGAUUACACUAGUCGUAUACCUCGGAUUUUAUCUCACUGAUGACUCUAUAUAAAAACAACAUUUUAUCAACAUUUAUUAUUAGCCUCAAUUCUCAUAAAAAAAAAGAAUUUAGUUAAAUUAAAUAAAAAAUUUCUACUUAACCACUUUUAUUUUAUCAUUCUUUCUUUAUUUUACUUUUUUCAACUCGAGUCGAGUGAAAUAAAAUUCAAGUUAAGUUAGAUUGCGUGAAAUUGUUCUAAUUAAAUUUAAAAAUUAAACAUGUUAAAUUAAAAUUUUGUUACAGUAUAAUUAAUUCCAUAUUUGAGCACAUAAAUUUGAACCCAUAUAUAUUUUUAAAAAAAAUUCAAAACAAAAUAAAAAAUAUAAAUUAUUAUUUUAGAAAAUUUUUAAAAUUUUAACUUUCUUUAUAUAGUUUCUUUAGAAUUUUUUUUAAUUUUUUUAAAAUAUAAAUUUUGAAAUUUUUAUAAAUAUUUUGAAUUUUUUGUUACUUUUAUUAUUGAGAGACUAAUUUACUCAUUUUUAAAAUUGACAAGGGACAAAAUAGUAUUUAUACUAAUAUGUUAUUCGAAUUAUUGGAGUUAUAAAAAUAAUAAAAUAUUUCUUGCUAUAUAGAGAUACCUUAUAAUACGAUAUCAAGACAAGUAAUAGUUCGUUUGUAUCAUAGAUAAUAUCCCCCUUUCAUGAUUUUUCAUCGAAGGUCUUAGACAGCAAAAUGCAAAAAUUUGGAAGAAAUUUUUAUUUAUUUAAUAUUUCAUGUCUAGAUUAAUUUAAUUAAAUAAUUAAUUAUGAUUUUUAAUUAAUUUAUUUUAAUUUUAUCUUACUAAAGUCGGUAAAAGAGACCUAAACUUGGACGUUGGUUCUAGUUUUUUUUUUUUUUACCUAGAACAAAGUUUGGAUUUGAUGAAAAGAUUCCAUAUAUUAGACAAAACCUCUCAUAAGAACUAACUUAGAAAAUUGAAAUUACAAAGUUGAGAGAAAGCAAUAAGAGAAAAAAAAAAGUGUUAGAAUUGUGUGACCCAAAUUCCUAUUAAAAUAAAAUACAAGUGGCAAGAUAGGGGAAUCUACGAGGGCGAAGGCUGCACCCAUCGUAGAUCCCCAAUAAGUAAAAUAUUGACAGGGAAUGGCCCCCGCCGUACGGUACAAGCUACACUAGUGGAAUCUGUAUAGAAGUACACUUCUUCUAUUCGAUAUUGCUUUAAAUAAGGUGUUUCAACCUUACUAGAUUGCUUCUAUUAGACUUUGUUUAGAAUAAGGUUUUUUAACCUAUAAAUAGACGUAGUCGUCUCUCCUCUUGUAUCAUUCAAAUACGACAUAAUGAAUUUUCUUUUCCUCUACCCAUUGUUUUUUUUCCUGAAAGGGUUUCCACGUAAAAUUCUGUUUGUUCUAUUUUCUCUCUUUCUUUGCGAUUCAUUGUCAUUAUCGACAUUCAAUUUUUCACAAAAAGAAUGAGAGGAAGAAAUCUUGUGUAUUGUAUCACAUAACUUCCUUCCUUACAACAAAACAAUAUAAAAGAAAUAAAACAAACAAAUUAACAGUCAACCCAAUAACCAAUUGACUGUUAAUUCCCUAUAGGUUGCAAAUGUGUCGUUUUCAUUAAAAACCCAAAACACUUCGGUUUUACUUACAAUUAGAGGGUGCUCAUGGGCCGGGCGGCCCGGGCCCGGCCCGACGGCCCGCCCGAAAUAUGGGGAGGGUUUGGGUAAAAAUAUAGGCCCGAAAUAUGGGCUUGGGCAAGAAAAACGAGGCCCGAUUAAAAAACGGGCCGGGCCUCGGGCACAACUUUUUUGGGCCCGGGGCCCGGCCCGGCCCGGCCCGAAUAUAAUAAAUAUUUUUAUUAUUUAUUAUUUUUUUAAUUUUAAAAUACUUUUAUUAAAUUUUUUAAAUUUUAAAAUUUUUUUAAAAUAUUUUUUUAAAAUAUUUUUUUAAUUUUAAAAUAUUUUUAAAAUACUUUUUUUAAUUUUUAUUUUAAUUUUUAAAAUAAUUUUUUGGUAUUUAUUUAAAAAACGGGCCGGGCCGGGCCCGGGCUUAUGAAUUUUUUCCCGGGCCGGGCCUGGGCAAAAUUCUAGGCCCAUAUUUCGGGCCGGGCCUAGGACCCGGGCCGAAAUUUUUUUCUGGGCUCGGCCCAUGAGCACCUCUACUUACAAUAGAUACACACAAUUUUAUUUACUUCUAUUUUUCAUUCCAUAACAACUACUACUCCCUGAAAAAUCCUUGGCAUCAAGGAUCAAAUCGAGGAAACUUGCUUUUAAUUUGCUCUAAGGACUCUCAAGUGGCAUCUUUAGGAAACGAAUUUGCCCACUCCACCAAAACUUCAGUGAUUGCACUAUUCCUUUUUUUAACCAUUCUUCGAUCCAGCACACAAGUUAGGUCUUUGGUCCAGACACUAUUAGCAUCAAUCACAAGUAAAGUUGUCUGGGCUGGAGUUGAUCCCACAUGUUUCUUAAGUUGAGAAACAUGAAAUGUGGGGUGCACUCAGGAUCCAAAGGGCAUUUGCAACCUAUAGGCUACCUUCCCUACUCGGGAUUUUACAAGAAAUGACCCAAAAUAUAUGGGAGACAGCUUAUGAUUUAACAACUUCCUAAUUGAAUGUUGCCUAUAUGGUUGUAGCCUCAAGUAGGCCAAAUCACCUUCUUUAAAAUCCCUCUCACUCCUAUGUUUGUCUACAUGCUACUUUAUUUGUUCCUAAGCUCGUUUCAAAUGAAAUUAUAGCAUCUUCCUAGUAGCUUGUCUCUAUUACAGACUUUUAUCAACAUUGAACACUAGAGAGGCACCUGCUAAGUAAGGUAUGUAAUGGGGAGGAGGUUGGCUAUAUAAUGCCUCAUAAGGUGUGGUGAUAAUGGAAGAAUGGUGAGUGGAAUUAUACCACCAUUUUGGCAUAGGAAGACAUUGCAACCACUCACUAAGGCAUUCACCUGCCAUACAUCUGAAGUACCCCUCAAGGCACCUAUUCAAUAACUCAGUCUAGCCAUCAGACUCAGAAUGAUAAAAAAUAGAAAAAUGCACCUUUGUACCAACUCGUUGGAAAAUAUUGCCAAAAAUUAUUGACAAAACUUUGUCCUUGUUAGAAAUUAUUAAAUCAGUCAGUCCAUGUAACUUAAAUAUGUGAGCCAUGUAUUUUUGAGUCACAGUUGAAGUUGUAUAAGGAUGAGACAAUGCCAAAAAAUGUCCCACUGACCUACCGUCAAAUGUAGUUGUUAAUUCGGGUUAACUCCGUACUUAAAGAACUUAUUUUCUAGGCAAUUUAGGAUUUUAAUUUACGUUUUCAAUAAUUAAUUGUUAGGAUAGAAAGGUAAUAAAAAUAAGUGUUUUAAACACAUUUUGUAGGUGUUGUGACCUAAUAGGCCGACAUGGGCCUAAGGUUGUGCUAAUUGGUUUAAUUGAGUGUGUAGGAUGAAGAUAUAAAGGCCCAAUUAACGUGGAAGCAAAUGUCGAGUGAUGUAGAAGCUUCUUAAGACAUCCACGCACAAAACGAACGACACAAGGCAAGAAUUCGGUCUCAUGUUACGCCACACAAGUAGUGUGGCACAACAUAAGGUCGACGUGCUGCCCAAGUAUUUCAGAGAUAUUUUCAUCCGUGCAUCAAACUUAUUCGAAGACCUAAGACAUUUCGAAUACCCAAUUUGGGCUACCAACACUUUUAUAAAUAAGACAUUAGGGGUUGAAUGUAAUUAAGUCGUCCUAGACACCUUCAAAAACCCUCGUAAUUUAGAAUUAGUUUUAGUUUAUUUUCUUUUUGGAUUUUCAUAACUUUCUUGUUUUUCUUCUUGAAUCAGUCUUGAUUAAAGAACUUGUUUAUUUAAUUAAAGUAUUUAGUUUAUAUUUUCCUUUGUAUUUGUUUUACUUCUUUAUUCCAAUCAAGAGAUUCACUACUCUGUUCCCCAUUCGACACCCAAUCCACAAUUAUUCAAAUCUUUUUUCUUCUCUUAAUCGAUCGUGUUUCUCACAUGGUUUAUUUAAUCGAAGUUGAAAUUAUGACUAACAUGAGUGGGUAAAUCCCUUAGGGGAGAUUAAUGAGUGGAUGGGGAUGUGAUUAACGGAGGAUUUGGGGUUUUCCGAUAAGGAUUAGUUGGUAUAAAUUAUGUAUUACUAAACUGUUAGGCUUGACAACCUUAAUAAGUUAUUAUAAGCUAGACGAGGUCGGAAGAUAAGUCGAAUUGAGUAAAUCGUAAAUUAUCCUUGUUGAGAAAGUGAGUUUGAGAGAUAAGCGAGUAUCAACAAACUGAGUAGUUAAUUAAAGGUUGGGAGGUAAUAAUUAGUUGAUCGAUUACUAAUCCAUCUCAAAACCCUAAUCUAAAGUUAGUUAGAAACCCUGAAGCGAGUUAAUCUUCCUGAUUGGAUUAUUGAUUUAGUUUAUUUGUUUAUUUCUCAUUAUUUAUUUCUUUUUGUUUUUUCAUUUCUUUUUAUUCCUCAUAAUCUAUUUUAUGGUUAAUCAUAAUAUAGAAAAAUAACUACAACCACUUAGGCUUGUUAUUGUAAAAGUAUUUUCACUAUUUAUUCCAUCCUCCAUUGGGUACAAUCUUCGGAAUAAUUUCAGUAUUUCGUUGUACAACUAUAUUACAAUUUGACUCAUGCACUUGCAGACACCGCCAUUCUUAAUUUUUUUUAAAAUUUAUUCUAUAAAUGAGAAAACAGACACCCACCUUGGUAAGUUGAUCCACCACCACCAAUAUCAUAGAUUUGCCCUUAGAAUUUGGGAGGCCUUCAACAAAUUCUAUGCUAACAGAACACCAUAUUCUAUUUGGUAUAGGCAAUAGUUGUAACAGACCAAGUUUUUCCACUAUUUCAUUUUUACAUUUUUGACAUAUAAGACACUCUCUAAUACAAGUCUUUAUGUCCUUAGUCAUCCCUUUUAAAAUAGGAGAGAAGUCAUUUUGUUCCUUGAAGCAUGAACACCUGAAUGUCCUCCUGUGACAUCGGCAUAAAAAUGCUCGAAUAGUUCCCUCCUGAGCUCUACAUCUUUGCCUACCACAAUUUUGCCUUUCCUUCUAAAAAAUCUUUCAUCCCAUGCAUACUUAUAGUGUCGAGAAGCCUAUUAUUGGACUUCUUCACACGAUUUCUAAAGCUUGGCAUCAGAGAAAUAGAGUUCUUGAAUCCUGCUCAACAAAUUAGACACCACUAUAGAGUUAGUCAUUUUCCAUACCUGACCAAAUAAGGACUUAUUCCUUGAGAGAGAAUCAGUUGUUGCAUUGCUUGAGGCCUUUUUGUAGACAACUUCAUAAUCGUAUCCCAACAUUUUGGCCACCUAUUCUUGCUGAAAUGGAGUAGUGGCUAAUUGGUCUGACACGAACCUCAAACUUUUAUGGUCUAUUCUGAUCUUGAAAUGCCUCCCAACCAAAUAAGCAUGCCAUUUCCUUACUACUAACAACACUGCAAUCAUAUUUUUUUCAUAAAUUGACAAUGUUUGAUGUCUAGCAUGAAGACCUUUGUUAAAAUAAAUGCCACCAGCUUAUCUUUUUGUUCAAGCCCUAUACCAAAACCUGAUGCAUUUGUAUCUACACAAAAUUCCAAUUAAAAAUCAGGAAUGGUGAGUAUAGGUGAUGAAUAAAGGGCCUCUUUAGGUUGUUGAAAUGCCAUGACAGCUUGAUCAUCCCAUUUCCAAGCAUUUUUCUUUAAGAGGUUGGUGAGAGGUCAAGCCAACAAACCAUAAUUCCUUAUGAAAUGUAUCUAGUAACCAAUCAAUCCCAAAAAACCUCUUAGAUCUUCAAUGCAAGUUGGCAUAGGCCAAUUCACCAUACAAUCAAUGUUGCAUUAGUCUAUAGCCAUAGUCUCUUUUGAUAUGACAUGCCCUAAAUAUUCUACUUGUUUACUACCAAAAUAACACUUACUCUAGUUAACAAAGAGCUUAUGCUGUCUCAAAAUCUGAAAAGCUACCUGAGGUGUGCCAAGUGUUCUUCCCAAGUUGCUGAGAACACCAAGAUUUCAUAGGAAAACCAGGAUUGUCUUCCUUAAUAAGGGUUUGAAAACAUUUAUGAGAGCUUGGAAAGUUAAUGGGGCAUUAGUGAGCCCAAAGGGCAUCACCAAUAAUUCAUAGUGCCCCUCAUGAGUCUUGAAAGUUACCUUAUGGAUGUCAGCCUCAUCCAUUUUGAUUUGGUGAUACCCUGACUUGAGGUCUAGCUUGGAAAAGACCCUAGCAUGGCUCAGUUCAUCCAAUAACUCUUCAAUGAUGGGAAUAGGAAACCUAUCUUUGAUGGUUAGCUGAUUGAGUUGCCUGUAGUCCAUAUAGAGCCUUUAGCUGCCAUAUUUCUUUUUAACCAUCAUUAUAGGGGAAGCAAAAGAACUAGUGUUGUCCUUUAUGAUCCCAGUAGCUAACAUGUCCUGAAUAAUUUUCUCCAUCUCAGUUUUCUAGACAGUUGGAUACUUAUAAGGUCAAAUUUUGACCACCAUAUUCUUAUCUUUUGAAGGGAUCUUAUCAUCAUGUGGUUUUUGUAGUAGCAUGCUUGCUAGAGUGUUGAAAAUGUCAGUAAAUUCUUCAAUGAGUAAUGCAGACCAAGGUGUGCCACUGGAGGGGCUGUAAGCAAACAAAAUUGAACAGUAAAAGUCAUGACCAUAGUGUAGGGACUUAAAAUCUGAUCAUUCUGAGCAAGACACUUGGAGGACUUCCCUACAGAUAUAACUUGAAUACUCUCAGGUAAUAUUCCUUUCAAAGUACAUUCUUCCUUCCAAUAAGGAACUUCAUAGUCAAAGACUCAAAAUUCCAAGUUAUUGGCCUUAAAGAAAGAAACCACUAUACACCAAGGACUAUGCCACAGCCCUUCACAAGUAGCAACAUGAAAUUUGUUACAAAAUUAAAUCCAUGAGUUUCCCAUUAAACCUUUUUGCAAGUACCUUUGGUAAUUAAAUUUAUGCCAUCAGCUACUAUAACUUUAAGUUGUUCCUAUUGACGUAUAGGCAAGGACAACCUACUGACCAUCUUGGCAUCCAUGAAAUUAUGAGUGCUGCCUGAGUCAAUUAACACAAUGGCUCUAGUGGUACCUACAAUUUUUAUAAUUAUCAUAAUGUAAGGGCCCUGAGACUCUUUCAUGGCAUGUAAGGACAAAAAAGGCUCCUGAAGUUGCUCUCCUUAAUUUGAAUGAUCUUUUAACUGCUCUAAGCAUUCUUGGAACUCAUCACCCUCUCCAUCAGAUUGAGAAUCAAUCAGCAUUUGGUAGAGUUGGCCCUUGACACACUUAUGGCCUACAUGGUAUUUGGUUCCACAAAAAAAAACAUAGGCCCUUCUGCUUCCUUUCAUCUAUUAAUGAUGGACUAAUCCCUUUGGAAGGUGCCCUGGAUGUAUUAGAACCACUGGAAGAACCUUAAAUUGAAAAAGCAUGUGUUCUAGUUUAAGGGGAAAUGACUGAUCGAACUGACCUAGCAGGUUGUGUCAUUGGUGACCCAAAUCGAGCUACAAGACUAGAACUAGCAAGGAAACUUUUCUUUGGGGAGCCAUUCAAAAUAGUCUCUACCUGCCUAGCUAGAUGAAAGUCUUCAACCAAGCUCUGGGGUCUAAAUAAUUGUAAAUACUGACUAAUCUCAUGCCUUAAGUUACUAACAAAAAUGCUUAAAGCAUAAAGUUCAAGCAAAUGUAGCUAAUUUAGGAGACUUACAAACAAAUCGUGGUAGCUUUCAACUGACCCUUACUGCUUUAAAGAAACUAGCUCUGACAUUGGAUCCUUGAACAUGUUGGAACCAAACCUCUCUCUCAAGCUAAGGGCAUAGCUUAUCUAGUUUAACAUCUGUAUCCAACUAUGCUUUUGAGCAAUAAAACAGUGCCAAUUUAGAUCUCUUCGAUCCAAAUGUAGCAUCACUGUUCUAACUUUGUCACAGUUAGACACCACUUCAGCUUCAAAAUACUGCUCAAGUUUUGACCACCAGUCCCUGAAAUUUGAUCCUUCAAAAAGAGGACAAACCAGUCUAUAAGUUCGACCCUGAAGCACUUUCGAAUAAAAAUGAGGUGGAUCUCCUACUAUAAAGUGGUUGGGACACUUAUUGAGGAACUCUUACUGGUUCUUUAGGAGGAAAACUAGGGGGUGGCCCUCCCAAUAACUUUUUUUUUCUUAUCUUGAGUAGCAUCAUUUUUUAGGACCCAUGUUGUCCAAAAUACUAUUCGAACAAAUUCAGGAGUUCAAAUUUGAACUCUCCCUUAAACUCUUCAUUGAACCCCAGUAAGAGAGCCUCAAGUUUAACAUCAAGCCUUGUCUCAAGGUGCGAGAGCUCCCUUUGAACCUUUACCAUCUCUUAUUGCAGAACAUUGACCUCUUUUUAAACACGUUUAGUGACUCUAUCCCCUGCCAUUGGGAUCGGUAACUCUGAUACCCUGAUAAGAACUAACCCAAAAAACUGAAAUUACAGAGUUAAGAGAAAGGAAUAAAAGAGAAAAAAAAGUGAGGAAAAAUCGAAGAAGAAGAAAUCUUGUGUAUGCUACUGCAUAACUUCAUUCUUUACAAUGAAAUAAUAUAAAGGAAAAUAAAACAAACAAAUUAACAACUAGCCCGAUAACCAAUUGAUCGUUACUAUCGAAAGUCAAAACGCGUAGUUUUAUUAAAAACCAAAACACUUCGUUUUACUUACAACCGAUACACAUAAUUUUAUUUAGUUCUAUUUUUCAGCCCAUAACAACUUGUAAUCGAAGAUUUUUCUAGUUUCAUCAAUUCUCUUUGGUUAACCAACAAUACAUAUUUAUAAAAAGACAACUAAAGGUUUAAUCAAUUUGUAUAAAUAAAAUAAAGAGUCUGAUAUUGAAUAAUGACCAAUCGCCUAAUGCUUUUUUGGACACUUAAAUCACAUCAUGAUAUCUCUCCUAUAAAUGACUUGAGUUACUAAAAAUUUUAGGGAUUAAUUACGUAAUUAAAUAAUUAAUAGAAGCCCUAUUUUAAUGCUAUUAAAAUUAUUACGAUUUUUUUUUGCCAAGCGAUGAUAACUUUAUUGUAUUAAAACGUAUGUAUAAUUUUAUUUUAUUACAUUCCAAAUAAUUAUGUAACAAGAUCUUUUAAUGCAGCUCCAUUAAAUUAAAAUUGAUCAAAUUAAUGAUUAAACUGAAUAAACACCUAUUAUCCAAUGAGAAAAUCUAGUGAUCUAUUUCUUUUUGUUCAAUCAUUUACGAUUUCAUGCAAGUGUUCAUGUUAAAUCCAACCUCAAAAGUUAUAUAUUGAGCUAUUGGAAGGAUAGAAUGAACAUAUAUAAUUUGGGCUUACAAUAACCUAUGUAAUUGAAUUUCUACUUUACAUUUAUCAUUCACAAGGUUAUUUGUAAUACCCAAAAAAUUUCGGUACAUCAAAUGGUAUUGUUCCAAUAACAUACAUGGUAAAUUUAUCAAAAAGAUAGAUUGAGUGUAUUGAAAUUUUGUUUGGAAAAGAAGUAAGUAAAAUAAAAUAUUUUGAAAUUUGGUGAAAGUUAGAGGACUAAAAGUGAAAAUGGACCUUAAGAAGAAAAGGUGGAGUCACAAAUAAAUAAUUUUUCUUUCUGAACUUGACAUGAAAAAAAAAUAUUGAUAAGUGGAAUUGGAAAAUAAUGGUAUGGACUAAAUUAAAUAAAGUAGAAUAGUUUAAAUGUAACAUCUCUAACACCCCCGAGAUGAGAACAGUGUCAGUACGGAUCUUACACGUGUUAGAAUUUUUUAAUUAGAUAAAAUAUAAUUUUUAAUAUUAGUGGAGAAGGUAGUUCGAGAUUAUUAUAAAUUAAAAGGGCUUUUGGAUUUAGAGAAAUUAAAUUAAUGUUUGACCAAAUUGUAAACAUGUGAGAAGUGUUGGGCAAAAGUGUAAAAAUUAAAAACAAGAAAUGAUUGGUUUAGAUAUAUUGGAAAAAGAGAAAGGACUUGAAGAGCAAUUUGACUGAGAGAGUACAUGAGCAUGUGGAUGAAAUUGAAAUACAAUGUGGUUUACAUGUUUGGCAUGAUGAUUUGAUUAUUUUAGUUAAAUAUUAUUAUUAAUUUAAAAUACAAAAUUAAGAAGAUAUUUGUGUAGAAAGAUGUAGAAAAGACAAAAAGAAAAAAAGAUAUCACCCAUCUUCAUUUCGUCCUCUCUCCCACGUUUUUCAUAAACAAUUUUUAGCAACUUUCGUUUUCUUUCAUUUAGGUCAUUUUCUACCAUUUUUCAACCCUUUCAAGCUAAAACUUCAAAAAUUCUUCCAUAGAUUUUUAGUUAAAACAAGAGAAUAACUCCAUGGCAAGAUAAGUUUCUUGUGAAGCUAGUUAGAGUUCAUAUUUGAGGAGGAAAAAAUAAGCUUGAAGAUGGAUGUUUGAAGUGGAAGAGAGUAUGUGUAGGUGGAGAAAUUAAGGUAAGUUGUUUAAAUUAUUAUGUUAUAUUUAUUUGAUUGUAUAAUUUGAUGUGAAAUUGUAAAAAUUAAGGGUAUAUAAGUAUCUUUUUAUGUUCAAAGUGAUGGAAGUAUUAAAUGUAAUGGCCUGAAUUUUCAGUGGUGUCGAAACAGUGAUUCGAGAUCACUAAAUCCGACAAGUGAGUAGAAAAUAUUAAUAAUUUAGUGAGUAUAAGUUAAAUGUGAAGUUAGGAAAAUUUUUGAAAUAGUGAAUAGUGUACUAGAAAUAAAUAUUAAAAUAAUUAGAAUAAAAAAUGAGGUAUCGAGACCUCAGAGAUUUUAAACCGAGCCAUAAAUAUUUUUAGAGUGUUAAAAAAUUAGUAUUAAAGUUUCGUCAAGAAAUUUUAAAGUUCCGAUAGUUAAUUGAACAAAAAGGACUAAAUUGUAACAAAUGCAAAAUUAUGAGAAAUGAUUAAAUAGCUUAAAUGAUAAAAGAAAGAGGGCUUAAAAAAGAAAAUAGACCCAAAGUCUAUUUGGGCUGGAUGGAAAAGGCAUGAAAUCAGCAAGAAAAUAAGGAGAAUUAAGGGAAAAAUUGGAAUAUUGCAAAAUUUACUUAAUAAAGCCAGGAUUAAAGUGGAAUUAUCUAGAUUUCUCUUUAUUUUUCUGCAUUCUCAUUAGAAGAAACACCAUAGAAUGGUUUCAUUAAUCUUUUUUUCAUAUUUUUAUUGCAAGUAAGUUCAAUUCUUGAUUAUUUCUUGAAAUUUUUGUGUUUUUGUGACUUUUACAACAAGGUCCACUUGUUGAAUUCAUUAGUUUUUGAUUCUAUGAAAGAAAUUGAAAGUUUCUAUGAAUAUGUGCUAGAAUUAUAUGAUGAUUUAGCAUGGAAUUAGAGCUUUAAAUUUUUUAUAUGUCGAUUUUAUUGAAAGAAUUGAAUAGAAAGUGAAUGUUUGGGACCUAAUAGUAAAAGAGUUUGAAGUUAGGGUUUUAUGUGGAAAUUCUGAAUUUCAAUAGUUGUGAAAUAACUUAUAAUGUCUAGGUAAAGUACUAAUUGAGAAAAAUUAGCUUAAUUGAGGGGUUAAUUGAGCAAGGACUGAAUUGUAUGAACUGUGAAAUUUGGGGCAAAAUGGAAAUCAACAUUUUGCACUAAAACAGUUUUGGACAGCGGCAGUAGUCUAACUUUGAUAAAUCACCAAAAAUUGUGAGAAUCGAAUUAGAGAAUGAAUAAAAUAUGAAAUUAAAUCUUAUUUAGUCUAGUUUCUCAUAGAAGAAACGGUGUAAGCAAUAGAACUGUAAAUCAUGAGAUAUAAUAAAUUUUGUGAGAUAAGGUCAGAAUGAUUUCGGGUUCCCCUGUUUUGGAUUUGAAAAAUCAUCACAAAUUGAAUAAAAAUAAUUAGGGGCUUAAAUUUUUAUAUUUAAAAUCCUUAAUGAGUUUAGUUUCAAAAUAAACAAACGAAAACAUCAUCCAAAUCCUGUACGAGGAGAUAAUUAAUUUUUAGUGAAGAAGGGUCGAAACUGUCAGACAACAGAACAAAGGUGAUUUUAAAGAAUAAACUGUACUUAUUGGCUAAACCAAAAAUUCUAAAAAUUUUAUGGUAAAAAGAUAUAUGAGCCUAGUUUUAGGGAAAAUUAGCGGAUCCUAAUUUAGAGUUCUGUAACUCAAGAUAAAAAUAAUUGAGUGACUAUGACACGAAUGGACAACAUUGAAUAUACAUAAGUAAAUAGUGAAAUUAAUAAUAGAUAAUGUUACUUAUAUGCGGGUUAUAAACAUUAAGGAUGUGAAAUAAAGUGAAGGUGAAGUCAAUACUGAUAAGUGAAUGAUUUUACAAUGAUAGAUCGAGAACCCAAAGCAAGUCAAGGAAAAGAAAAAGUAGCUGAUUAGUCCCUGAACUUUCACAAAUUCUGCAAAUCGACCCAGGUAAGUUCAUAUGGAUGAAAUUUAAUGAUUAAAUUUUAAUUUCAUGAAUUAUAUAAUGUAUGAUGAGAUAUAUUUGUUGAUGAAUUGAGAAUAAAAUAACAAUGCGAAAAUCGAAUAAAUGAUCAAAUUAAGCGGAACGUCAGAUUUGGGUACUUCUGAUCAGUAACAAGUGAUAAGUGGUAGCUUUAGCUACACUUAUCUGAUCAGUGACAAGUGACAAGUAAUAAAUGUGAUCCGUGUAAGACUGUGGCAGGGCUAUGGCUUCGGAAAGUGAUAAGUGAUCAUACGCAAGACCAUAGUUAUACUAUGGCAAAGUGGAAGUGAAGUACUCAAUUUUUCCGUAACUGUUCCCUAAUUUGAUUAAGGAUAGUAGGUGACAAAUGGGCCCAAAAGAAUUAUAGUAAAUGGAUAAGUGGUAGUGAGUUUAUACUAGGGGCCUCACCAAUGAUUGUGGUUGACAGUUACACUUAGUAAUGGUGUAUAAUGUAUAAGUGUAUGAAUGUUUGGUAAGAUUUAUGUUUUAUGCCUAUGAACUUACUAAGUUUCUAUAAGCUUACUUGAGUGUAUUCAAUGUCUCUUGUAGAUUGACGUGAAAAUAUACGGAGGACCGGAUCAACACUGAGGAUCACACUAUCCAGAUUAUCUCCGUAGCUUUUGUAAAUUUCCUUUUUGAUUUAUAUGGCAUGUAUAUGGUUUGAUGAUUAUAUAAAUGCCAAAACUUGUUUAAUAAAUAUGUAUUAAUGUAAAGAGUGAUGAAUAUGCUAGAUGGUAUAAUUAUAAUAGAAGUAUGAUUUGGUAUCAAAUUGAUUGAAUUGGAUUGGUUGGUUUAGAUUGGUCUCGGUCUUAAAAUUUCAGUAAAUGUUGGAUAUUUAUAAAGGGAUUAUAUUGAGUUCAUAAAAAAUUUGGGAUUUCGCGAAAAAUUCUCUAUGGUUUCGAUUUAAUCUCGGUUUGGUCCCGAAGUAUGUUUUGGGCUUUGGAGACCCCUCUAAAGGACAUCAUGAUAUAUUUAGGUAAAUGAAUAGUAAUUAACUCGUAAUAAUGUAAAAUUAAUUCGGUAAACUCCGGUAAUGCCUCGUACCCUAUUCCGGUGACGAAUACAGGUAGGGGGUGUUACAUUAAAUUUAUGUUUGAAGUGAAUGGCGAAUGAUUUUUAUGAAUAAUUUGGUGAAUUAUUUGAAGUGAAUAAUUGAAAGUAAGAAAGUAAGGGUGUUUUUACUAAGCAUAUUUCAAUUUGAAAUUAAUAUUUUGAAUGAUGGAAUGGUGUAUUUACCAUGUUGAAUGUGGUAAAUAUUUAUUUUUAAUACUAUUUGGAUGAGUAAAUUAAAAAAUAAAUUAUUAAAUGAUUAAUUGGAUAAAAUUGAAGUAAGGACCGAAUUGUAAAAUUUGUAAAAUUCUGAAUUCUAAAGGUUGAGUAGUGAAGUUUAAAAAUUUUACGUAGUACUAAAUUAUAUGAUUAUGAAAUAUAAAAAUUGGGAAGUUGAGCAUAAAAUAGUAAAGUUUGAAACUAUAGGGAUUAAAUUGUAAAAAUUUCAAAACAUGAGAGAGAGAGAGAGAUUGUUUUGCAAAAUUGUACAAACUAGGAUUUAAGACUAAAUUGAAAAUAAAAAAAUAAAAGAAAAUAUGAUUUCUAAGGACUGAAUUGCAAAAUAGUGUAAAUUUGGGACUUUAGGGACUAAAUCAUAAAAAUUUAAAAAAUAGAAUUUUAGGGACUAUUUUGUAAAAUCUGUAAUAUUGAAAAACAGGGGUUGUUUAUUAAAUUUGAAAAAAAAUAUAGGAGUGGAAAUGAGCAAAUUAAUUAUAUAAGUGUUUAAAUGUAAUAUUUGAAAAUUGUAUUGAAUUAAGUGUAUUAAACUAGAAAAUAAUUGAGUAAAAAUAAAAGAAUUGAAACUUGAAUUAGUAAGAUUAGAUUCAUUAAAGUGAAGAGAAUUAUAUUGUGAAGUAUAUGUGAAAAAGAAUAUGAUUAGGAGUAAAUUAGGUUAACAAGGGAAAUGUAAAGUGUAGUUACUAUUAGUAUAUUUUGGGAAAAGAUUAAAUUGAAAAAAAUUAAAUAAUUAAUUAAAUAAAUUAUGUUGCAAUAGGCAUGAGGUUCCGAUACAUGUGUUUCAAAGUUUCAAUACAUGAAUAAUUUGAAGUUAAAAAAGAUUAGUAAUGUAUAGGUCUCGAUACUAUGAAUAAGAUAUCAAUAUCUUUAUUCUUAGAAUCAUAAAUUCACCUAAAAAUACUCUGGAAAAAAAUUUUAAGGUUAUCUAAUUAAAAUUUUAAUAAUAUAAAAUUUUAGAAAGAGAUUUAAUAUCAUAUGGAGUCCAGAUAUUGUUAGAAAAGUAAGUAAGGGUUAGGGGAUUGAAAUUGAAAAUUUUAAUGUGUCAUUUCUUAUUUAUAUAUGUUAAUGAGUCAGCUAAAGGGUGUUACAUUAUUAGUCUUGUUGUUGUAUCAUUAAAGACCUGAUACUAAACUCCUAAUUAUAUAUCAUUAUGGAAGCUAACAAAUAAAAUUUUGUUAAAUAACCUUAUUAAAUUAUUGCAAUCCUCAUAAGUCACAUGUGAUCCCUUUAUGUUUUAUCCAUUCACCAACUUUGAUAACCUUUUUCUUAAAGUUAUACUAUAUAUAUUAUAGUGUAAAUAAUCAUCAAUCCAAUGAAGGAUUUCAAUCAAUUAGAAAUAAUUUAUGGUUAUGCUUUAAUUAUAUCAACCAUAUAAUGCCUUUAAAAAGAUACUUUAACUCUUUGGUGAGAGGUAUGGUUCUAUAUCUAUAUGAAAAGUUACACCAUAAAUAAGUUGCAUACCCAACGUUAAACUUACUUGCUUACUACCUUGAGAACACUUUUAUUGAUAGUACUAUAACACUUUGUUACCCGACCCGAUCAUUAGGUUUAAGCUUCAAGAUGUCACAUUUGUUUCUGGAGCAACUAUAAACAAUUACAUUUAAUUAGAAUCAUUAAACAUCCAAAUAUGAGUAAUACACAUGUAUAAUAUAAUAUGUAAUCAUUCUCAGGUGUUAUACGAGCUUACGAAAGCUCUUUUGCUAACCCGAGAUCGAAUUAAGACUAAAUUGUAAAGAAUUCAAAAUGUUGAGUUGACGUUGUGACUUCAGGGGUCCCUUAUCGUGGUGCAACUCACUAACUAGGUCUCGUCGCGACGUUGAGAGUAUGUCGUCACGAUGUGACUCUGUUUUGAAAAUAGCCAAAAUAGCACCAACCUGCAUCACUUAGAAAACAAAUUCACCACAACCAAUCACUGAUUCAACCAAAAUUUUCAUUGUCAAAUGUUCAAUCUUAGCAUAUCUCAUCAUAUAUACCUUUAUAUCACCAAAACUUACAUAUUAACACAAAUAAUUAUACAAUUACCAUCCAUUUACCAAAUUGACAUAUAUAUAUUCACGUAUAAUCCCGAUAUUGCAACCAUUCAUACAAACCAAAAAGUACCAAGUUCAUAUAUGCAAUUCAAUCAUUUGACCAUUUUCAAGUUACCAUUUCAAGCUUCAAUUAUGAACAUAUUUACACCUUAUGAAAAAAUCAACUCAACUUAGGUACAUGUCGUAUAACGAAUAAAGGAGACUUUACAAACAUUGGUGAAUCGAGGAUAUCAGACCAGAUGCUGGAAUCACUUCUCAAGACCUUGAGAUGUACCUAUACCUGCGCACGAGAAAAAAGAUCAUACGUUGAGCGAUAAUGCUCAUUGGUAUUUCUAUGAUUCAAAUCAAUAUAACAUAAGUUGAAUCAAUUUCAAACAUUCAAUUCAAAUUUUAUUUCCAUCCAACUAUUAUGCUAUCAUACUAAGUUUUUAUCAACAUAUCAAUCAACAUAUGCAACUACAAGCACCAAAUAUACCAUAUGAAUCAAUCUAUACAUGUUUAAAUUAACCAAUCUAAAGAUUAUACCAUGUUAACAUAUUAGUAUCAUUGAUAUCACAUUUCUAAUCAAUUCAUAGCAUUUGGUCAUAUCAACAUACCAUUUCUGAAUGAAUCAAUUAAUUCACCACAUUUUCAUAUAGACAUUUUCACAUUUUCAUAUAGACCUUUUCAGAUGCUAUUGAUAUUCAUAUUUCAUGAUUCAUCUUUGUAACACCAAAUGACAUUAUCGAUCCAGUUCACAUAUCAUUUAUCAAUUUUACACAUUAUAUCCCUAUUAACCUGACUCAGACUCGAAUGGAUACAUGGAUCCCAGCCAACACACCAAUUUGGCAUCUACUGCCUCAUCGAAACGUCCGAAGUAAACAUAUUGCACCUAGUGCUCAUUGGUAUAAUCGAAGUAAUUGUUGUGCCUAGCACUCAUCGGAACGUCCAAAAGAAAAUGUGCUUAGUGCUCAUCGAUAUAUAGUUGAAUUAAUCCCGUACUCAAUCUAUCUUAUGGCAUGCCAACUAUAUAUUGACUCUGUCCGAACAGUUAAUAGGGUAACCAAUAUUCCAAUUUCAUUGUAUAGUUAAAUUCACAUUCUAUCAAUCUCAAUUUAUCAUCAAUUCAUCAAGUUAUAUAACAUUUUUCUACUCAAUUUCAUACCAAAUAUCAUAAAUCAUUAAGUUAUGCUACUUUCCAUUUUAUUCAGUUUAGUCCUCUAUCUCGAUAAUCAAUCUCAAUCGUAGCAAUUUAAUUAAAAUAACCAUUUUCAACUCACCUAAAUACAUAUUACGCAAAACAUCAUGAAUAUGCAACAAUUAAAUUGAUCCUAGAUCAUAAAAAUACAAACCAAGUUUCCGAGUAACUCGUCGACAACUUUUGUUCUUCCUUUCCCUCUUGCAGGAUCUGCGUCAAUGUUAGCUACACACAAUCAAAAGACAUAUGCAUUAUCAAUUUCCCAUCCAACUCACAUUCAAUUACAAAGACAAGCAUAUUUUAUAAUUUAUUCAAUUUAGUCCCUAAACUCGGGACAUAACUUUCGAUCUAAAGCUUCUGAUUAAAAUCUAAUUUCACAUAUACUCAUUAAGGACUUUCUACUUUCUAUUCCUACCAAAAUUUCAUAACAUUUUUUCAUUUUAUUCAAUUUGGUCCCUAAUGUAUGAAACUAAUAAUUAAGCUUUACGAUUUAGUCCUUUUCAUAAACUAAGCUUAAUUUCUAUCAAUUUCAUACCUAAUUCUUCAAGAAUUCAAUAAUGGAAACUUUCUAAAACUUUAAUAGUUUCACAAAUUAGUACAUGGGCUAGCUAAAUCAAGCUUCAAUGAUUCAAUUUCCAUAAAAAUCAAAGAAGAAUGGCUAGGGACUUACUUGAAAUAAGUGGUCGAAUGUGAAAAUAGGUUGAAAGCUUUCUCCUUUGGCUUUCAAAUGGUAGGAGGUGGAUUUAGGAAGAAGAUGAUGGCUUUUGUCAUCUUUUUCCACCAAAACUUAUCUUUUAUACUUAGGUUUAGCUGUAAUUAAACUUAAUUAUUUUGUUUAAUCUUAAUUAAUUAUCACUUAAUAUUUAAUUAACCAAUGUUAUUGACAUCCACUAGCACAACCCACUAUCAUCUAUUUAAAUUUCGUUUAUUAGCCAUUUGAGUCCUUUGGAUAAUUGCUAUCUAAGUCCCCAAGCCUUUUUCUAAUUAAAAAUCUAUAGCAAUUGGAUUUUUACAAAUUAAUCCUUGAGCCUUUAUUAACCACUUUUUCGGCUAAAUUACUUAACCAAAUUUCAAUUCAUCCAUAUAAUAACUCUAUAAAUAUUCUUAUUUAAUAUUUACAAACUCAGUUUAUGAAAAUAGAGUUCCAAAACCACAUUUUUUGACUCCACUAGAAAUCAGAUUGUUACAAGUACAUUAAAACAAUCAAGUUAUACGUGUGCAUACGAAUACUUAGGUUUAAGGUUAAACAUAGUGACUUUCACAAAGUGAACUAUAGAUAGUUGAGACAUCUAUUCAAUUUAGGUUUAGUCCAAUGCAUUGUCACUCCAAGUUAAUAUAUCUACUCAGGAGUCGCUCAUGCUUUGAUAGCUAAGAAAAGCUAUCUCUUUAUAUGAAAUUUAUACAAUGUAAUAGUUCUUACAUGAGUUACUUGCUCUUGAAAACUUCGUGAACUACAAACAUGUUUAAACUAACAACUAUAUAAAAACUAUAGGAAGUUAUCUUCAACAUAGAAAACUUAUUUGUUAUGUUAUUUUAACAUAGUCUAACUUGGGUAAUCAAUUAAUCAUGCUUGCUUAUACCAUUUGUUUUACAUGCAAACCAUUUAGAGCAGAAUAUGUGCAUAUUAUCAUGAAUAAUAGUGUGGAUGUUUAAAGUAAUUUACAUUAUAAUGAAAAUGGACAAAUCUUAACAAUCUCGCACUUAAAGUAAAGAUUUGGCAUAAUGACUUAUUUUACUCUCCAACUUUACAAAAAAGUCAUUUUAGUCAUUCAUUUAUUUUUUCGUUUCUUUUAGCCUUGAACUUGUAGUAUUUGUCAAAUCACCCCAAAAUGGAUGGAAAAUUUAAUAAAUGUUAACUUUACUAACACGACAACCACGUGUAUGCCAUGUUAGUAAUUAAUUAACUUUUCUAUCCAUUUUUGGGUGAUUUGACAAAUAACACAAGUAAGGGCUAAAAGAGGUGAAAAUUAAAUUAAGGGCUAAAAUAAAAUUUUCUGUAAAGUUUAAGGGCCAAAUAAGUCAUUAUACCAAAAUAUUUUGCAUCCCAUAUAUAUAUUGAGUGUAACAAGUACAAUACAAUUACAAAUACAAGUCCGAAUAACCACAAGUAUUAAACUAUUACAAACGGACUAUCCAAGUAACCACAAAGUAUAAUCAUACUAUUACAACACAAAUAAAUUAAGAACUAAUACAAUUCAGACUAAAAUCAACUAAUUGAAAUUAUUUGAACUAAAAUUUCCAUUAUGGGACUUGGAUACCUAUGAAUAGAGUAUUUGACAACACAUUUUAUAGGAUAGGGGAAUAAAAACUCAAUUGCCUCGGCCUGACCUGCGCUAUUGGGCUCCUGAGAGGCCCGUACUCCAAAACUUUCGUGUUUUUUUUCCCUCUUCGAAGUCCAAAGUCUAAAACCCCAAAACCCCAAAACGCUCCUUGUCUUCGGCACUCUGCUAUCAUCACCACCACCCCAACCGCUCGCCCUACAGCUACAGGACGCUCGCAGUGUGUUUACCGAGAACAAACGGAAGCAAAUCCAAGAUAACAGAAAUCCAAUGAAUACAACAAAGAAGGCUUUGACAGCAGUCACACAUCUUACUUCAAUUUAUCCUCGCCGACUACACACCUUCCACCAUCACCGCCAUUAUCAUCACCGCCUAUUUUAUCGUUUAUUUUCAGCCCAACCACAGCAACGCCAAGAUGAUUCGGACGACUCCCACCCUAACAACAGCGCUAUCUCUGACUUUGACAGUGCCCAAUUCUCCAUCCCCGAUGCCCUCAGAACUACCCCUCAACAACCUACCUGGGAUGUCCACCAUAGGCAACGAGUUGAGCGGAUAUUCUCCAACGGCGAUCUCCGCCACAGAAAAGUUAAAGAAGAGGAAGAGGAAGAGGAGAGCAGGAGAAGGAUUCUUGCAAAAGCCUUGCUUGAGGCAGCCUUAGAGGGCCCAGACGAGGAUGCCGACCAGGACCAAGAGGUCAAGGAAGAGGACCAGAAGUCUCUCUCCGUUGGGAUAAUUGGCGCCCCUAAUGCUGGAAAGUCAGCCCUUACUAAUUUUAUGGUUUGUUCAUUAGCUCAUUCUAUUUCCUUCUCUUUAGGCAUUGGCGCAUUCAUUCAUAUCACAACUAAUUAAUAUCUCACAUGCGUUUUUUAUAAGGUUGGGACUAAGGUUGCUGCUGUGUCACGGAAGACAAACACAACCACACAUGAAGUUUUAGGGGUCAUGACUAAAGGGGAUACCCAAAUUGUAUGUUCCUUUUUUUUUUUUUUUUGUUUAUUCCUAUUACGAUGCUUUCACUUCUCUGUUUGCUUUUGGAAUUUUCCUGCUCCUUUGUGACAUACAGUACGCCCUGUUUUUUACUGCAAGACACAACAAUAUUUGUUCAACUGUGUUACUUUUAACUGUUUUACUGGCUUUCUAUCUCGUUUUUUAUACUAAAUUUCAGAAAAUGGGAUUGUUAUGAUUCCAUGUUUCUUUCUCGCCCUCCUGGGAAUUCAUGUGUGGGGAACUCAUCUUUUACUCUUGCUUUAUUGUUAUAGUGGCCUUUAGGAGUAUCAUUCUACUAAUCUGGUGUGUACAUUAUGCAGUGCUUUUUUGAUACCCCUGGACUCAUGUUAAAUAGAAGUGGAUAUCUUCACAAAGAUAUGAAGGUUCGCGUUGAGAGUGCCUGGAGUUCAGUUAAUCUCUAUGAUGUGCUCAUGGUUAUUUUUGAUGUCCAUAGGCAUCUUACAAAGUUAGUGAUACACCACAGCUGAUAUUUUGACCUUCUUUUACUUUUAUAUUAAUUUUCCUCUUGGACAUGUAGCAACCUUAUUGUUGGUGUGCUUCUGAUUUGGUUCAUUUUUUUUAUCAUCUCUUUUACUGCCCAAUACAUUGUUGUCCAUUUAGCUUGAUUCCAGGAUUUCUAGCCUCCAUUCAUCCUGUCCAUUUGCUUACUAUCCUGCAUUUUCUAGAGAGGUUGCUGAUUGUAUGGUCAAUUUGAUUAACUCUUAGCCUUCAGUGCAUCCUUUGGAAACCAGUGUAGUUCAUAGCUUUUCUGUUACCAUUUCAUCAUCAUUGUAGAUCUAUUUGCCUCGGGGACUUCAACCGAGAUCUAUCAUCAGUCUUCUGUUAUCCGUAGACUAUACUACAUGGUUUUAUCUUGUAAUGGUGUACCAAACUUUCUUCAUGAGGGAAGCUGCUUUGCUUUCUUGUAACAAAUUAGAGAUAGCGGGUGGAUCUAACCUAUUCCUAAAAGGGUUAAGGUCUUUAAGGGUUGUGGCUUUGAUUUUCUGACUGGAAUUCGAGGCACUUGGAAUGGGUGAUGAAUGGUUGCAGGCUAUUUCUUGGUUAAGGAGUUUGGUAUGCCAUGAACGUGAUAAAUGUUGUCGUUUUUGCUUUCAGUGUUGUGUGCAGCCGUUAGAAAUGCAGGCAGUCCUCAUCUUGUGCUACUGUGAGCUGCAAAAAGCUUUUUUGGUCCCUCACCUUAUAGAUAUCUAAAUAAGAAAGAUUGUCCUCCUGGUGUCAUAAUUUAUUAUAUAUAUUUAGCUUAUGAAUUGCAAUGAGCUUUUAGUAUGUUCAUGUGCAAUGCUUAGUUUUCUGUUUGAAGAAUUUUAGCAAGGAAUUUUCUGUGCAGCUAUUCAGUUCCCCCAGAACAACACAUAUCCCCUUUUAGAAUAUACUUCAGAUUGACUUCUGCCUCUUGCUUUCAAAAUGCAUAAUUCUCUCUGUUUUCUCAAACUUGUCACUUCGGCGUACUGAUCUCUUCCCAUAUGCCUUUUAUCAUAAACAUUUCGGGCCUUCCAUGUGGUUAUGUGUUGCUUUGAUCAUAUAAAAUGGUCUUCAAGUCGGGUAAAUACUUUUUUGUACUCUAACUUUAGCCUUUCAAGCUUCUUGUCUAAUGCUGAAGUUGUUUUCUUCAUCUUGAUCGCUGAUCAGAUUCUCAUUCUAAUGAUUCAUCCAUACAGGCCUGAUUCAAGGGUGAUAAGAUUAAUCAAACGUAUGGGAGAAGAACCGAAUCCUAAACAAAUACGGAUUUUAUGCAUGAAUAAGGUAGAUUUGAUAGAGAAAAAGAAGGAAUUGUUGAAGGUUGCUGAGCAGUUCAAAGAUCUUCCUGGCUAUGGAAGGUAGGUUUUCCUGCUGAAAGGAGGUAGCUCCUUUUAGGAUAUAAACAAUCAUGCUUAUUUUCAUUCAUUUCGAAGCUCCGAAAAAACAUGACUGACCUUUCCGAUGUUGGCAGCUAUAUAAGCGAGAUACGGACAUUAACCCCUUUGUUUGAGUCUGUACUGUUUUCAUUCAUCUGUAAGCAUGGUAAUAGAGUAGCACAUAGCCUAGCAACUAAGGGUGUAGAAAGGGCCAGUCCUAUCUUGUUUGAUAUGGAUUACCCUGAUUAUUUGCAUGAUUUCAUUAUGUAUGACAUCAUUGAAGCUGAUUAAUAAAACUUUUACGAGGUAUAUUCAGAAACAAAAAGCAUGCUUAAGUUAGCUUCUAAUAAAUUUAAUUCUACUUAUUUUCCAGGAUUUUCAUGAUCUCAGGAUUGAAGGGCUCUGGAGUAGAAGAUCUUACUAAAUAUCUCAUGGAACAGGCAUUUUUUUAUUCUACUUAUGCUUCUAUUUGAAGUAACUGGAUUCUGUUAUGUCUUUAAAAUAUGCAAUUUAUUCUCUUAUGCAUCUGGUUUAAGUAACUGGAUUCUGUUAUUUCUUUGAUAUGGCUUUUCAUAAUAUCUUUUCUAGUUAACUAAUUUGUUUGAACAUGUUAUCUUCUCUCAAGAUCAUUUUAGGAUGAUGGUAAGGAUAUUCAAAUGAUAUCUUGCCUCUGGACUCUUCUGAGGCAUGGUGUUAUUGUUACCAAUUUUGUUGUCAAAUAUAUUUUCAUUUUCUGCUAUUAUUUUUUCAUAUUCAGCCUUAUUGUUUUCGCAAAUAUUUAUAUGCAUUUUUAUUUUAGAUUGAUUUGAUGUGAUUUGCUCUUAAGAUUAUAGUUUAUUUGUGUUAUGUGAACCUUGUGUUAGCAUAUACAUGCAUCUUUACUGGAUGAAUGAGUAAAGAAAAAAAUAGCUGGUGGUCAUUAGUUACAAAGAGCUCUGUAUUGGAUUUUUUUUUACCUUGAAUCUGAAUGAUAAUGCAUUAUGUAUUCUAUUAGAUACUUCUUUGGCAUUAAUACCUUCUUAGUAUGCUUCUGUCGAAGGGUGAAGCAUGCUGAAGUUUUGUUCUGCCAUUGCAUGUCCUCCUCCCUCUAUAAAGUAAUACAACUUAGUAUCAAUGGCAUUUUUUUCACCCGUAGGCAGUUCAAAGGCCUUGGGAUGAAGAUCCUAUCACAAUGAGUGAAGAAGUCAUGAAGAAUAUUUCAUUGGAAGUUGUCCGGGAAAGGUUACUAGAUCAUGUGCAUCAGGUAAAACUUGUGUUGUUUGUCUAUGCCUUGGCUUUUGGUUCAUUGGAAGUUCUCGUAUUCAAAUUCCAAUUCUAGAGGUGGAAUUUGUGAAAUUCCUUGAUUUUUACUAGGAAAUUAGUCAUUUAUUACAUUUCCUUCUUUAUGUGAUUUUUUUAUUUUCCAUUUUAUUUACAAAACUCAUUUAAAUAUAUAUAUUUUCAUGCUAUUAGAUCUCUAUUUACUUUUACAAACCUAAUGAAGUCCCUAUCGGAUAUUUUUUGUAUUUUAUUUUUAAUGCAAUUUUUGUUAUAAUUAUUUUAUCAAAUUCUGGUAUUGAAAUUUUAUUAAAAAUAUUUAUCCAAACAAUGCAAUUACCAUUGCUAGUAUUUUGAAUUGGUGAAUUUUGAUAUGCUUUUAUUUUUACUUCUUUUUUUGAGGGUUGUGUUGAGGAGUUGUCUAAUGAUCAAAGAUUAAAACAAGGACUAAAACUUUUCUUGUGGCAGGAAAUCCCAUAUGGUAUUGAUCACCGUUUGGUAGACUGGAAGGAGUUACGAGAUGGAUCUCUGAGGAUUGAGCAGCACUUCAUUACCAGCAAAAUGAGCCAGCGAAAGAUUCUUGUGGGGAAGAAUGGCUCAAAAAUAGGGUAAGCUAGUGCUAUCUCCAAUUAAUUUCUUUUCAUGGUUCCACUGGUAUUUCAAUCAUGUGCAACAUAGUGUCUCCUUGAAAUCUUAAUGCCAAGAUAUGAGGUGGUCCGCUGUGUGCGCUAUAGUAGCAUGAUAUCAGAAGAUGUCUAAUUCAUAUUCCCCCUUGAUUCGACGGACACAAAAUAAUAACAAAUAAAUAAAGCAGGAGGGUGGACAAUGAAAAACUGAAUGUCAGUAUUGCAGCAAUACAAGGACUAGGAGAAACUUUAUUACGUACAUAUCAUGACAAGUUCAAUUCUGUGGUUCCAUUUUUGCUUCCUCUGAUCCCUUGAGGUCCAUAUGCCUUCAUUUUAGUUAAAGCAUGGAAACCUCACAGGGAUUUGAUUUUUGCUUGUUUCUUUAGAGUUCCGUAUUCUUUCCUGAAGUUCUGAAAUAAAAUCUGAUAUUGUAAUGUUUGCUUGAAUGCAAUUCUCACAAUGAUUAUUUGUGUGUUAUAUAUAUACUAUUUAAUUAAUCACAGGAGAAUCGGGAUUGAAGCUAACGAGGAGCUAAGGUCUAUCUUCAAAAGGGAGGUGCAUCUCAUUCUUCAGGUUAGAGUUAAAACAUAAGCUCCAAGAAAAUAUAGUCAAAAUGUCCAGAACUGCACACACAUCCCGGGAUACCAUCUGAGGUGUAUAUAAAACGAGUAGCCAAUGUAUUUGUACCGUCAUUUCCCUAGGGUCUUCUCUUUGUAAGGCCAAAAUGAAGUCAGCUAUUAGUGGCUACAGAUGAUUAAUUUUAUUGGGAGGUUCAAGUGGGGGUAACACAAAUUAUGAAAAGAUCCCACUUUUGCUCUCCUUCAAUGCGCCUACGUGUCCUAAAUUUUUAGGUGAAUUACUUUUAAUUUCUUGUAGUCCCAAGUGUUGUAUUCAUGUCUCAUUACAUGAAAGCUAAGGUUGAGGACCUAUUCAGUUAAUUCAUUUGUCAUUUUAUUAUUUAAAGUAGAGAUCAUUCCUUACUUUUUCACAUAUCUAUUUUAGUAAGUUGUCAAGAGAGGACAAAAUUGAUGUUUUAUCCUGUCACAGCAAUUAGUGGAUGUUUAAGUUUUAUAAUCCUCUGCUUGUAGAUAUAAAACAUUGAGCUUAUUCCAUUUUUAUACCGUUCUGAGCCCUUUGGCUAUAAGAUAUAAAUGUAUGGGUGAGAAUUACUUGCUUGAAAGAUGGUGAAUGCUGGAUGUAUGUCAGAAUUCAGAGUUGUUGGGACUUGGGAGUCACUUUUAUUUGUUUAGUAGUGGAAGGGGGGGGGGGAUUUCUACGACUGAACUCAGGAGAUGAGUUUGGUCGACAAUGAACAAAAAGGAGAAAAGAUGUAUAGGCCCCUGUAGAUGCCUGCCUGUCUUGUUCACCCCAAAACUGGCAAUUUUUAUUUUUUAAAUCUUCAUAAGGUUGGGCAUCAUGUAAUUUUUUAAAAUCGAUCAAAUCAAGAUAAUGAAAUUGGACUUUCACGGUUUCAUUUCCUUACUUUUUUUAGCUACUCAAUUAUCAAAAAUUACAAUCAAAAGUUGUAACAUUUUGGUAGUUCGUGUUUUGAUAUUAUGCAAAUUAAAACUUAAUAUUACUUAAACAAUAAUUAUGAUUUUCAUAAAUAUAUAAAUUAAUUGGUGUGAACUAAAGUUGGUUAUUGGAUUUGAUGAAGAACAUCCAAAUAAAUUGAUUUGUCCUUUACCCUUUUGCUACAUAAAUUCUUACGUGUUUGGUUGAAUAGAAAAGCGAAAAAGUGAAAAGAAAAAAUUUUGAAUGUGCUUGCUAGAGAAAAAAAGUGAGGAAAGAAAAUAGAAGAGAUGGUUAUUUUUUAUGCUAAUGUAUAAAAAUCAAUCCUAACAAGAAGUGGAUGGAAUACUUUUUCUUUCAAAUUAUUCAUCUCUACUUGAAUUAUAUUUUCUAUUUUUCUUUCAUCUCUACUCUUUAAUCUCUCUCAAUUUCGAAAUUUGAGCGAAUUAGUCCCUCUUAAAAAAAUUGAAAAAAUAUAAUUUCGGUCAAUUUUGAAAGUGAGCAAUUAAGAACAAUUAAUCACGGCAUUAAUGUUUUUUUGUUAAUUGUGCACAUUUUUGAUUGAUAUAAUAACAAAUUUAGUCUUCGGAGUUUAUAUAUUUUGUUAAUUUAGUCUUGAUUCUAAAAAAAAGCAACAAAGUUAGCCUCAACGUUUACACAUUUACAAAAAUAUGUGGACUAAAUUUGGUAAAUCAUGACCAAAUUGGUAGAAUGUAUAAAUUAUGAGAGUUAAAUUUGUUAUUGUAGCAAUCAAAUUUAUGUAAAAUUGAAAAAUAUUGAUGCCAUAAUUAAUUGUCCUUAGUUGCUCACUUUCAAAAUUGAUAGGAAUUAAAUUGUUUCGACUUUUUUGAGAGAGACCAAUUUGCUUAAUACCGAAAUUGAGAGGGAUUGGAGAGGUCUUUUUACCGAUAUAAAAUAAUCCAAGUUACUAGGAGAGCAUUGUGUAAUGCAUGGUUAAGUGUCAAGUAAGGAAAUUGUAAGAGUCACUUUUACAUGGAAAAUGCACCAGUCUUGGGAGAGUGAGAGGUUGCUUGGGUGCUUAAAAAUUGUUUGCAACAUUGUUGGUGAAAUCAAUUGCUGCUCCCUUCUCUUCCAAUUAGAUGCUGGCGCUAUUGCAAUGGUUGGAAGUUGUUGCUGCCUUUCUCCUUCAAAGCCCACCUUAUCCAAAGUGUUUCCAAGGAGAGGUGCAUAGAAGAUGAGUUUGAAAGGCAAGUGUUUCCAUAAAUUCUCUUUUACUUGUAAACUUGUAAUCGACUAAAUGUGCAAAGUUAGCAAUUGAUCAGUAAUACAUUCAUAUUAAAAAGGUUAAUUCAUGAUUAGUAAUACAAUUGAUUAAUAAGUUAAUGAUGAGUUAGUAAACAAGAUUGAUAGUUGGUAUUAAUUAAAAUGUAAUUUAAGCAUGUUUAACGUCAUGCAUGAAAAAGUCUUUAGAUUUCACUCUUUCAAAACAACUUCCUUUCAUUUUCUUUUGGAAUAGAGGUUGGCGUUGAGGUAUUUUUUCAAUCAAGUGUCGUUGCAUAGAAAAAUUGUCAUGUUUGGAUUGGCAAGUUCUAACAACAAAUAUAAUGAUUAGGAUACUUGUCAACUCAUCUUUCGUAUCCAAGCUAUACUUACCAAGAGAUCACAAAAUUUUCUUUAGAUUAUAUCGAAGUAAUUAUCUCCCCUUAAAUUAUGGAGCAGAUCGAAUCAAGCCUUUGAAGAAAAGAUAUCCAGUUCAUUGAAAAUUUAUCUUAUAAUAUUCUAGAAAUAUUAUGUGAUAUUUAUCUUAAUUACUUCAAGAAAAAUGUAUUUUUUCUUUUCAACAAUACAUACAAUUAAAAAAGUGUAAAUUAAAAAAAAUGUAAGGAAAAAGUCCAAAAAUUAAAUUAUUCUUAUGAGACAUGACAUGUUGCUAAAUUAAAAGAAUUCUUAUAAUUUGGGGCUAAAAUUAUUAAAAAAAUAGAAAAUAUAAUAAUGUAUUUUAAAAAAUAAAAUUAAAAAAUAUAGAAAACAUUCAAGGUUACUAAAUUUACUAUAGAUAUUUAUAUAUCUAUAUUUUUUUUCUAUUUUUUAAUUUUGGUAUUUUUUUAGUUUUAUGUAUAUAUAUUAAAAAGUCAUUUAUAUAUAUUUAUAAUUUUUCUGAUUAUUAAAAAAAAUAUAUUUGAGAUUUUUUUGCUCUUUUUUUUUAAUUUCUCUCUCUUUUUUUUUUUUCGAAUUUGUUUUACAUUAAUAAUAGAGUGAUGUGGCAAGUUGGGAGCGAUCACAUCAAUAUUUUCUUAAUGAAUCGAGCCUUGGAGUAAUGGAAGUGAUGAAAAAAAGGUUUUUUAAAUACCAAAGUAAUAAUUGGAUACAAUUUAGGAGUUAAAUUAUGCAUUAAUUCUGAAUUUUUACGUAAAAGUAUCAUAGAGAGGCACCAAAUUGUAUUUUGUCCAUUCUACUCAAAAGAUAAGCGAAAUAGUCUCUGUACAUUAGAUGAAAGAACAAAUUAAUCAUUCUGUUAAAGAAAAUCUAUUUUUACUAUUAAAGAUUGCUCUCUAUACGUUAAUAUGAGGUACACGUGGUGCUCUAUAUGUAACUAUCUGGUCAUUUCAGUAGCUACGCCAAUUUUUAACAAUAAAAAUUGAUGAAAUUUUUAAUAGAAAAACUAUAUAUUUUUUGAUCCAAUAUAUAAAAAAUUAAUUUACCUAUAAAUUUUAUUAGUUCAUACAUAAGCAGAUAAAAGAGGGAAUCCAAUUUUGGAGAUUUAAAAAAGACUAGUAUUUUAAUCAUCUUUUAAAGUUAGAAACAAAAAGACACAGAAGCAUGGGUCCCUCUUCAACUCAAAAUCAGUAUGGACAUAUCUAAUUACUUUCUUUUUACCUUCCAUCUUUAAAAAGAAAGCAAAGGAAACUGGUUGCUUUAAAAGAGAACAAAAAAGAAAAAGAUAUGUAAAAGUAUUAGGGAAGAAGUUAAAUUGCAUUUUUACUUCCCUAUUUAAAAAAUGAAUAAAUUAAUCUCUUUAUACUAGAUUAAAAAAUAGACUAGUUAUUCUCUGUAAAAAUUCCAUCUAGCUCUAUUAUUAAAAAUUGAUCUUUACACAUCAGUAUAAGGUACAUGUGGCACGUUACGUGUCCACCAACUUUUAACAGUACAAAUGAAUGAAUUUUUAAUAAAAAAGAUCAAUUUGCCCAUUGGUUUAACGUACGGGGAUUAAGUUACCCAUUUUUUUAGUAGAGGAGGCAAAAUGCAAUCUGACUUCUAGUAUAAGAGCCUCCAUGGUGCUUUUAUCCAUAUACAUUUGAAUAUUAAAUUUGUGAUUGGAAUAUGAUAUUUGAAAUGGUAAAAGCACCAUAGAUGUCCCUGUAGUAGGAGUCAUAUUGCAUUUUCCCCUUUCUACUCAAAAAAUGGGCUAAUUAGUCAUUGUAUAUUAGAUCAAAGAACAAAUUGAUCCUCCUGUUAAAAACCCCAUCCAUUUCUAUUGUUAAAAAUUGGUUUUUGACGUACAUGUGGUGUGCUAGUUAUUUAGUCAGGCACACUGGUUUUUAAUAGUACAAAUAGAUGAAACUUUAAAUAAAAAGGACUAAUUUGCUCUUUAAUCUAAUGUACAUAGACCAAUUUGCUUAUUUUUUUGAGUAGAGGAGGCAAAAUGCAAUCUAAAUCCUAAUAUAGGGGCCGCUAUAGUAGUUUUACCUAUUUUAAAUAUAUAGGAAAAUCAUUUAAAAUUUUAAAUAUAUUGGUAUCAAUUGAGGACAACAUAAUUGAUAGCCAUGAAACUAGAUAAUUGAUAGGCAUGAAAGAGAAAUACCAUGUUUACCUGUCUGCCAAGUCCAUAACACUGAUGUUUGUUCACAUCCAUCACUGAUUUAGAUCUAAUCUCUUUCUUUUACUAAAUUCAAUUCUUCUAAUUUACAGAUAUGCUAACCACAUUCACAAAUUCAUGGCCAGCUAAAAUACCCAACUGUACUUAAAAAUGUAAUAUGAACUGAAAACUGUUCAUCUUUUCUUCGUUUUGGUCUUACCAUUACAGAAGAGUGAACCAAACCCAAAAAAGCUUACAGUUGCAUUAGAAAUGAUUGGAUUUGGAAGAUUCAAAAUAGGACUCACUCGAACUCCAUUCCCAUGAGCUCCACAACUCUUCUUUAAUGCAGGCUUUUGUGUAGAAUUACCAUAAUAAGUAUAAUAAAACGUACCAGAAGAAGAACUUGACACUGAUGAUCUUCUUGUCAAAGAUGGCUGUUUCUGGGUUUCUUUUGGAAUUGGAGUUGAACCUGUUGAAUUACUGCGUGUAAGAAACUGAAGUGACCGGAUUAGGCUUUUACUUCGACUACUUUCACAAUUGAGACUACUGCUUCUGUUAAAGUGCCAGAAAGAUUUGGAUGAGGCAGGCUUAUCAUCUUCAUCAAUGCUCAUUAAUAAAAAUUCUUUCAAUCUUUUCUUCUCUCGGUUAUCUGUUUUGAACUGCUGGGGUGAAGAACGAACAACAGCACCAGGUUGGAGUUGACGACGAACUUGAUUCGCAACCCCAGCUUUUUGCUUUAUCUCAAUUGGUCGAAUCUUGCCAUUGGAAAAGAGCUCAUCAGCUGAAGGGAGUUCUUGAACGAAACUAUUAUUAACAAAACAGAAAUCGAGAUCCGAUGUUGGAUUUAAGAGUGAUGUGUCUAAUCUCUGAUGAUGACAUUCUUCAAUGGAAUCUACCCCAUCUUCUUGGUCGAGAUCGUCAGAAAACGAGAUUCUUGGGCUUGAAAUCUCUGGCAAAACUUCAAUUGCCAUAGUUUAAAACCAUGUUUCAAUCUAUAUGUAACAAUGGCGAAUGGGAGAGAAGAGAAAAGAAGUGUACAAAGUUGUGGAAUUCAAGCACCGAAAGGAUAGAAAAGGAACUCUUUUUUGGGUUUCCAAUGAAACUUUUACUUUAGGAAUGUAACCUCUAAGAAUUGAUAGAUAGCUUCACCUUAUAAUUGUUUGGAUUUCACUUUAUUAAUAAUUUAAGAUGAAGAACUUGGUCCACUGUGUAACAAAACCUUCAAAUCUCAAUUAAUCAUCUACUUGUAUUAAUUGGAUCUGAUCUAAUUGUAUUGUAUAAUUCAGAUAAUAUCCAUUUUAGUAAUUUGGAACUUGUUUUUAAUAAUUUUAUAAUUAUUUCCUUAUGUGCCCACAUAUACACAAUAAUGUCCCUUCCAUUUCAAUAAUUUGAAAAAUAUAUAUAUAUAUAUAUAUUUGUUUUAAACUCCCUUUUCUAAGCAUUUUUACAUAGAUUUAAGUAUUUUUGGGUUGAGGUGUAUUCAUAGAGAGUCUCCUAACUUUUAUAAUGCUCUUUGAAUCGCCUUAUGUUGAAUUAUUGUACCCGAGUUAUGACCAUUUUAGUAAAAAUUAGGAUAGUUAGAAAAUUUCGAAUAAGCUUUUAAUUAUAAUAGAUUCAAUUUUAACUAUGUAUAAGCCCAAUAAUAUAUUUAUUAAAAUUUAUAUUUUAGACAUUUAUUUAUUUCGAAUUAAUUGGUAUUUUAGAUUAAUUUGGCUGAUUGAAGAUGUAAAGAAAAGUGAUUAUAUGGUUGAAUAUGAUAGAUGUUGAGAGUCGAGUAAUUAAGUCAUGGCUAAAAAAAAGGGUAUUCUUACAAUGUUUGCAAUUCAUGAUGGUGUUGGAGUUUUGUUGCAUAAGGUCGGGAAUGGGUUGUUUGCUCAAUCUUGGUGAGCUUUCCGGACAUGCAAUGUUAGAAGAGAAAGGAACUUGUUUGAUGAAACAAACAGAGAUGACCACUCCAGCAGGUGAAUUGGAAGAAGAAUGAUUGUUUAGGUAUUAAAUGCAAAAAUAAAUAUAAUUAAAUCACUUUCAUACAUCCAUUUUAGAAUCAUUGCACGAACGUGGCCAUAAAACAAAAAGGCUUAGUGAAGGGUUGAUGAUAGCAGUUGUAGGCAAAGAGAAAUCCCAGCCUUUGUUGUGACCCAAAGCUAUUGGGCAUAAAUUAAAAAACCCAACAUCCUGAAGCUGAAUUUGUGCCCUAAACCCUAAUAAACCAGGUUUUAAGACUUUGUAGGUCGUGCAAUCGAAAGAACCCAGGUUUAGAUUUAUCAGCAACAAAGCAUCAGUGCCAAAGAAAGGCAGGUUACCGUUACAAGACAAAAGCUGGUGUGGUGUUACAGGCAAGUUUCUCAGUCCUCCGACAUGUAUGAAUCUUUGUAAUUUCAGUUUGUUAUGCUAGAAGAAAGCCCGAAUCUAAACCAGUAAAACCCCACGAGAAGAAAAAAGGAAAAAACAAUGGCACCGCCUAUAAUCAGAUCUCUAAUCGCAUUCUCUCUGAAUAAAUCAUGCCGUUCUCAGAAACCCAUUUCUGGUUACUCCAUCUCUUCUGUUUUCUUCUCAUCUUCACCCACCCAGGAAUCAAGAGCUUCCCUUCCUUUAGCGGAUCACUUGGUUGAGAAACACAGCUUUUCCCCUGAACUUGCCGUCAAGACUGCAUCUUCCCUAACCUAUGUGAAGGAUCCUCGUAAGUGUGAUACUAUAAUUUCCUUCUUGAAAGAAAGCGGUUUCUCUAAAUCCCAUAUUGAAGCAGUGGUCAAAAGAAAGCCUAACCUUCUAUAUUCUAGUCUUGAGAAAACCAUUAAACCCAAGUUCAAGAUUUUCCAGGAUUUAGGAUUUUCAACACAUGAUGUUGCUGAUAUUGUAGCUAGUGAUCCCUGGAUUUUGACUAGAAGCGUGGAUGAUAGGAUUGCACCUUCUAUUUCCGAUUUAAAGACUGUUUUAGGAUCGAAUGAUGAUGUUGUUAAGUUAUUGAAAACUUCUGCUUGGUUUCUCAAAUCUGAUUUGCAAAAGACUAUGAUGCCUAAUAUAGAGUUCUUGAGAAAUUGCGGGAUUUGUUCGUCGCAAAUUGUUUCAUAUGUGUUCAGCUUUCCUAGAUUUUUCUUGCUUAAACCUGAGAGCAUUAAGCAGUUUGUUGAAAGGGCGGAUGCCUUGGGGUUCGAUAGGAAGUCAAAUAUGUUUCUUGCUGCUAUUAGGAUGUUGAGUUCAAUGAGUGAAGAGAAUUGGGAACUCAAAUUGAAGCUUUUUAGGAAAUUGGGUUUCUCUGAAGAUGAUAUCAUGUCUACUUUUAGGAGGACACCACAGGUGUUUGCUGUAUCUGAAAGGAAGAUUAAGCAAGUCACUGACUUUUUGCUUAAUAGAACGAAUGUAGGUAUUUCAUUUAUAAUAAGCCACCCAAUGGUGCUUAUUUGCAGCCUUGAGCGUAGGCUGAAGCCUCGGUUACUGGUUAUCAAGACUCUGGAAAGUAAGAAUUCGCUAAGAAGGAAAGUUAGCAUGACUACAAUUUAUAAGAUGCCUGACAAGAAGUUCAGAGAGAAAUACGUUGUUCCUUACUUAAAAGAGCUCGAGGAAGUAUCCAUGUCUAUUGUGGGCACUUAAUUGUUAAAUUUUGUAUAGUUGAGGGCACAUAUCAAAUCUUGGAUGUACUUUGGGUUCAUAAUCCCGUAUUUCUUCAUGAAAUUGGUUCUUUAAGCAGUUUGUAAGAUUUUACUUCGCAAUAAUCGAGUCUUAUGUUGGAUAACUCCAAUACUGUUUCAAUACAACAGACAACAUUGUAGUUGAUUGUUUUAGACUGUUAGUCAUUGUUUCCAGUCUCUGCACCAUGCACAAUGCACAUCCACUUGUGAUGGUUCCUGUAUUUGCUGCUUUCUAAUGUUAUUUAUAUACUCACACCGAUGGUUUUAGGGCGUGUGCUCGUACUGGUAAUUGUUAGAAACUUUUCAUUUUCUUGCCAUUGAAUAUAUGCCAUAGUUUUGCAUGUAAAUGGUCAUUUGCUGCUGCAGGCAGGUUGCUAACCUUAAAUGCAUUUUGGGUUGACCUAUUGCAGGUCACUGUAAAUCAUGUUUUUGAUCAAUUGCAUGAGAACCAGUGUUUUGCGAAGCUGAAUUAUUUUUAAUAAGGAAAUUGCAUGGAUCUUUCUUUUAAACAAAUAGGAAUGCAGAAACAUGUUAAAGUUUGUUUUGAAGGGAAAAGCAUAGUAAAAAUGAAUUUUAAGAGUUAUGUCAAAAGAAAAUGAGAUCUUGAAGUGGCACUUAUUGAGAGACUUGGUCUUUAACUUGUGGCAAAUCAUGGGAUUUUGUUUUAGUUUGAAAUGGGAUCAUUUGUAUCUCAAAUCUCCAAAGGAUGAAUUCUAGAUGAUUGCAUAUUUUAUUAUACAGGGCUAGCCUUAUCUUUGAGGUACAGUUACUGUCCUGCAAACCACAGAAGGUUCUGGUCUUUGUUAGGGUUGUACUUUAGCAGAGUCAAGCUUGAUUCAAAACUUGCUGCUUGGAGCUUAAUUUGAGCUCUAUCAAAUGCUAUUUAUCCAUGCAGGGGUGAAGGUACAUGCUACUAACACCUGGUUAUUUAUGCUAGUCCUAAAUUAGAUGAACCUAAACUCUCAUGGCAGAAUUUUAGGACUGUUGUGGAUUUAUGCCGUGGCUCGUGACUAAGGCCUUCAAUGAGAUUAUUUCUCCUUAGGAGAGGGCAUGUCCCCAUCUAUUACUCAAUAUGUUGGUCCAAGGGAAAGUUAUCAACAUUGUAACUUCCUUUACUCCACCCAAUAACAAAUCCGAAUAAAAUAUUUCAUAUUUUGAUUCCAUUUAUUAUUAUUAUUAUUAUUAUUAUUAUUAUUUAAACUUGAAAUCGUUUAAGGCUUUUUUUCUGUUAAACCUUAAUUUAGCACUUUAUACCCUUUUUCGUGCACUACAAUAAAGCAUUUACAUUAAAUCAUCUUAGGAAUUCUUCUGUACUUUUAUUGGAAUUUGUACAAAUAACCAUCUUAGGAUUGAAUUCCUAAAAAAUCACUUAUUCGGAUUGAAAUUUUUAAAUAAUUUAAUGUAGUUUUGAUGAAUUUUGAAAUAACGAAUAAUUUCAACAUAUUUGAAUUUUGAAUUAUGAAAAAUAAAGAGACUAAAUUCUUGAAAAUAAAAUACAAUGACUAAAAUUUAAAUUUGCAAAGAGUAUAAGGACUGAUGAUAUAUUUUAACCUUAAAAUAAAUAUUAAACUACAUUUCUUACUCUGCGAUGCACAAAUUAAUUGUAUGUAUUAAUAAAAUAUAUUAAAAUGUAUUGUAAUUUUGUUAAUAAAAUGAUAAAUAAAUUUAAACAUAAUAUUUAAAAUUUUGUUAAAAGUUGUUUUGAAUAAUUAAAUGUUAUGAAUGGAUUGGCAGUUCAACGUUUUCUAAUAUUAGAAUAUAAAAAUUUAACUUCAAAAUUCCCAAUAUCUCUUUAUACAAUAAUUUCAAGUAUUUUAAUUUUAAAACAUACUAAUUUUUUUUUAUUGUAAAGAAGAGGGAAAUAUACGUCGUCAAAAAACAGCUGAACCACCCCUCGCGAUAGCUGUCCCUGUUGCAUCGUGUCCAAUUUAGUGCCUAACACCCUCUAUUAGUGUGUCAAAAAACUGAGUUUCCAUGUCCUCUAGAUUGCAGGAUUUUGCUAAGCUGUUUGCUACAAAGUUUGCUUCAAGUAAAACACUCGCUACUCGGACCAGCCAAUCUCGUCUGCAAAGCUCUCUAAUGCCACGAACAACACCCAAACAAGCUCCAUCAUGCUCCCCAUUUGCUAAACAAACAGCCUGCACAUUGCCACUCUCAAGUAUCCCUUGCUCCAAGCUACUUCGAGUCCAAUGAGGAUCGUCCAUAGCUCUACCGUAAGGAUGUCCCCCAUUCCAGUGGAUCUUCCAAAAUCCAGUAGCCACCGACCAGCUUCAUCCCGAACCACCCCUCCAACUGAUGUCCAUCCCAACCCUACAUGCAACGCCCCGUCCACGUUAACUUUCACCCAACCUGAAUCAGGGGCAUUCCAACUCACCACCGACGGGGCGUGGGCAUUGCUUAGCUUACGCCAUUCCUCUGCGUGUUGGAUAGUAGCAGCCCAGCUUACACUAGCUGUCAAAAUUGCACUCGAGUUUGCAUUGG
rnacentral:lncRNA from 1 species